AAAAAAAAAAAAAAAAGUUUGUAAUAUACUUAUUUUUAGACCAGUUUGUCCACAAGAUACAUAUCCUCUUUUUGUGUUUUUUUUUAAAUUCAUAUUCUUCUAACUUCAUAUCCUCUUUUUGUGUUUUUUUUUAAUUGUUAUUUUUCUAAUUUUAUUGGGAUCAUUUUUGUCGAUUCAUGAAAGCAAUAUCGAGAAUUAAAAAUAUUAUGAUAAAAUAAAAGGUAGUUAUUCGAUUCGUAAGUUUUUAAUUUACCGACUUUAUAAUUAUUUUUAGAAUUUAUGAACAUAUAUUUAACUUUGUAAGAAAAUUUUUAAUUUUAGCAUAAUUAAGCACCAACGUGAAGAAAUUAGAUAUAAUUUGUUCUAAAAUUUUGGACUUUCAAUAGAUAAAUGACAAAGAAUAGAGGAGUGAGGAUCAAAAUGGCAACCUGAGAUGGGGGGUGAAUUAGGUUUCUAAAAUAAAAAUCCAAAUAAUCAAGCAAAUUAAAAAACCGAUGCAAAUAAAAGAAAUGCAAACUCGAAAGGCACACGAUCAAUUUGUUUCGAGGUUCGGCACUUUGCCUACGUCCCCGCCAACUUCUCAACACUCGAGAAUGUUGGAUCUCCACUAGAUGAUGCUUUUGCGGGCAAGCACCAAGCCUUCACAUCAACUCCUUCUUUCAAGCUUCAAGAGUUUGCUUUUCUCUCUUUUUACAAGAUUAAAUCUCACUACAAGUUUCACUCAAGUUUAGAGAGAGGAUUGAGAGCUAAGAGUAUUAAGAUCACUGAAGUUUUUAUGCUCAAAUGAACUAUCAAGUUGCUGUAGAGUGAGGCCUCAAUACCAUCUAUUUAUAGCCUCGGACAGAUCUGUCAGUUGUACUUUCGGGCGCCCACAAACUGUUUCCGGGCGCCCAGAAGUUUGUGCACGCCAGCUGCUUGUCGGACCACGUGGGCCGCUUUUCUUGACUUUGUAUGUUUGGGCCGUCAAAAAUUUGUGGGCGCCCAGAUCUCGAGGAACAGCUUUUCUGACACGCGCAGCUUUUCUUGACUUCGUAAGUUCUAGGCCGUCAAAAGUUGUGGGCGCACAGAACACGAGGAACCGCUUUCCUGACACGCGCCGCUUCCUCUGGAUUUGGGCCAUCAGAAAAUGUGGGCGCCCAGAUCUCGAGGGACAACUUUUCUGACAUGCGCCAUUUUUCUGGAUUCGAGCCAUCAAAAGUUGUGGGUGCCCAGAUCUCGUGCUGACUUUCUUGCCAGACAGCCCAGAUUGCGUGCGCCGCUGCUUCCGUAAAAUCUGGGCGCCCAGAUUUCGCGCCGCCUGUUGUCGCAACCUGUCAAGUCAAAUAGUCUUGGUGUUUCUGGAUCACCCGAACAGCAAACAGGCAGGAUCCAAAAGGUCUCAAAAGAUUCGGAUCAACUUUCGGGCGCCCAGAACAGGGUCCAGAAAUUGCAACUUUACAGAACACAGAAUUUGAGCAAUUUUUGAAUAUUUAAAAGUCCUUUUCACCUAAUCAUAAAUUUAGAAAUUUGUUUAAGUGAUCUAUAAGGUGAUAAGAUAAAUAGUUUAAACUUAACUCAAAGUUUCUCACUCUAAUCAUAAGCAUAAUAUUAAUCAAUUAAGAAUGGAGAGAGUGAGUUUGUCUAUUUGACAAAAGAAGCAAUACACAGCUUUCAACGCAGGUGAACUGGUGCCAGAAUAUUGCCCAUCUUAAAUCUUUUUGAAGAUAAAGAUCUAAAACAACAAGACUCAAGAUAAAAAAGGUAGUCCAAUAAUCGUGAUUAUUGUUACAUCAAAACAAUAGAUCGAUUAGGCCACAUGGCCCAACAAUCUCACCCUUUUUUGAUGAUCGACAAACUAAUUGAUAUAAUAUCCAAUGAAGAGAGUAAAAAGUAGAACCCACUUAUAUACAUAUAUUUAACAUGCAUAAAUACAAUCAUAGGCAUAAUAUAUAUCAAAAUAAAAAACAAGUAGGCAAAUGUCAAAUAAAGAAAAACGGAGAUUAACAUAAAAAACCAUAACAUAAUAAACCACAAGCAAUUAAAAGAGCAUAACUAAACCAUAACAUAUAUACAAAUCAGCAUAGCAAUCUCCCCCCAUACAUCACAAAAAAAAUCAUAAAAGUGGUAAACAUAAGUAAAUCACAUCAUCAUCGUCAUCCUCUUCAUCCGUCCUCAAAAAAAAAAAUGAUCCGUAGGCAACAAAAAAAAUAGUGAGGAAGGAUGGUCGAAAAAACAAAAAUGGGGUCCAUACGCGCAUAAAAGGCACUCGAAGGUCCAAAGAGGAUCAUGAUGGCCCCCCCCUUUUAAAAAAAAAAAACAAAAAACAAAUGUGCAUAUGUUCUUCCAUCCUAACAUGUCUAGUAAAAAUCUGAUUGAAAUCCAUAGGAGGAGUAGCAUAGGCGGAGGGCAUAGCAGGGGUGGCUCAAAGGGUUGGAGGAGAUGCUCGUGGCGGCGGCCAACCGUGGAGAAGGUGCUCGAAGGGGCGGCUCACUAAGGUAAGGAUCAUCUCGGCCGUCGUCAAUGGUCAUCGACCAUGCCGCAGGCGAAAUCAAUCACAAUGUUUCUACCCAAAGGCCAUGACGAUGUUUUCUGAAGCCAGAGGGAGGAAAGUGGCUGUAGACAAUGGCAGUGGGGUACUUCAUUCGGCCUUACUCCAAAAAGAUUAAAAUGCAUGAACUCAAGAACAGCGGUGAGCAAGAGCAAUGGAAGUAAAAAAAAAUGAUCGGCGACGGCCAUGUGCGAAUAAGAUAUCCAAAAUUACCCGAUCCCACAAAUAAAAGUAAGAAAAAUAUCCAUUUUUUGAACCAGCCGUGUGGAUGAACCGUAAAAACGCGAGGAAGAACUACUUUAUAUAUGCAAAAAAGUGGGCGAGGCGGUGAGGAAAGGAAAGAUGAGAGCAAUCUUCUCGGGAAAUAGAUUCUUCACAAAGAAAAUGAUUGCGGAGUUGCGCCUAAGAAAAUGCAGGAAGUUCCAAGUGUUGGUUUGGUAAUAGCAAACCCCGUCAUUAGGAAUGUUCAAAACAGUGUGAAGAAGGAUAGGAGUGAUGGCAAAAACACGUCCCCGAAAGUGGGAAGUAAUAGUAGUAUAUUCGGAAUUAAAAGUGGCAUUUGCAUAAAAAGUCCUAAUUAGAUCUGGAUAAAAUGGUCGCGAAUUUUGAACAAAGAAAUCCCAUCCAACUUGUGUGAGUUUAUCCAAAAGUUCAUAGCAAUCAAAAUUGAGAUAAUGAAUAUUACGGCAAGGUUGAACGGGACGACCUAAAAGAUAUUUAUCUUGAGCCUCUCUAGAUACAAAAUUAAAAGCAUCAAAAUCCUAAUUUUGAUCAUAUCUAUGUGAGGGAGAUUCUCUUCUAGAUGCAUUUUUAGUUCUAGGCAUUUUUUUUUUUUUGUGUUUAAUAAUCUGAAAGCUAGGGUUAGAAGAAAAAAAAUUUUAAAAUACAAGAUCUAGGAUGCAAUGGUAAAGAUCAUGGCAGAAGAACAGAUUAUGUUGCAUAAGAAAUUAGAAAAAAAUUUGGGGUUGACAGCAAAAAAAAAAAAAAGGAACUAGGGUUUUAUGCAAAAUAAAAAAAAAUGAGCAAGAUGGAAGAUUAGUGACAAGGUGCUUAGAUCUAAGAGAAAUAAGGUAGAUGACAAAGAUUAAGGUGCACAAAUGACAAGAAAUCACUGAUUGAGGAGAAUGUGAGAGGAGAUCUGAGUGCUGGAGAGGAUUUGGGCGGUUCUGAUGAGGUCUGGGCGCAAGAUCUGGGCGACCGGACGGAGAGGAGGAAGAAGAGGAGAAGAAAUAUGGAAAAUGGGGCUUGUCGGGCUGCUGGGGACGACAAGGGGGCCCGCUAGCGGGUUUCGGGCGCUCGUGCGGGUCGGCGAGGUCGCCCGGAUCUACAACCCGGAACCCGCCAGGGCGGUCAAACCGGCGCGGCGGUCAAAGCGGGCGCGUGUGCGGGUCGGAUCGGUCGCCCGGAUCCGGAACGCGGUAACCCGCCAGCACGGUCAAACCGGCAAGGCGGUCAAAGCGGUUUUUCAGGUGCGGGUGCGAACCGAGUGGUCGCCCGGAUCCGAAGCCCGUUAACCCGUUAGAUCGGUCAGACGGGGCACCGUGGUCAACGCAUGUUUCGAACGCCCGGAAAUUUUCGGGCGACCGGAAAUUUUCGUCCGGAAUUUUGCAAAACGAAAAGGUGUAUUCAAAAAUAAAAUUGCAAGGCAAACAUAACAGUCAAUCAAAAAGAGAAAAUCAAGCAGAUAAAUCAAUCAUUCCUAAUUCUCUUCUAAGUUGAGUGAACCUAUCCUCACCAAGUGGUUUAGUAAAAAUAUCCGCUAAUUGAUUACAAGUGUCCAAAAAUUCUAUAGUGACAUCUUCUUUUUGAAUAUGAUCUCUAAUAAAAUGAUGUCGAAUUUCAAUGUGUUUAGUUCUAGAAUGUUGAAUAGGAUUUUUAGAUAUGUUGAUGGCACUAGUAUUAUCACAUUUGAUUGGAACUUGUUUUUGAUGUACUCCAAAGUCCUCAAGGGUUUGUUUCAUCCAUAAAACUUGUGCACAACAACAACCUGCCGCGAUGUACUCGGCUUCGGCGGUUGAAAGUGCAACCGAAUUUUGCUUUUUCGAAAACCAUGAGACUAAGGAGUGACCAAGAAAUUGACAAGUCCCACUCGUACUUUUCCGAUCAACUUUGCAUCCGGCAAAGUCAGCAUCUGAAAAGCCAAUGAGAUUAAAAUUAGUGCCCUUGGGAUACCAUAACCCUAAGUUGAGAGUCCCUUUAACAUAUCUAAGAAUUCUCUUUACAGCCACUAAGUGUGACUCCUUAGGUUGAGCUUGAAACCGAGUACACAAGCAAACACUAAACAUAAUGUCCAGCCGACUUGCGGUAAGAUAAAGUAAACUGCCAAUCAUACCUCGGUAGAGUUUGAUAUCAACAUCCUUGCCUUUUUCAUCCUUGUCAAGUUUAGUUGAGGCACUCAUUGGAGUGUUCGUCUCUUUUGAGCUUUCCAAGCCAAAUCUUUUGAUUAGGUCUUUUGCAUACUUGGCUUGAUUGAUGAAUAUUCCAUCUUUCAUUUGUUUAACUUGGAGUCCAAGGAAGAUGAGAGCUCGCCCAUCAUGCUCAUUUCAAACUCAUUUUGCAUUAGCUUAGAGAAUUAUUUACAGAGAGAUUCAUUAGUAGCACCAAAUAUAAUAUCAUCCACAUAAAUUUGUACAAUGAGAAAAUCUUUAUCCUUAAUUUUGAUAAAUAAUGUGGUGUCAACUUUUCCUCUUGAAAAAUUAUUUGAAGUAAGAAAAGUGCUAAGUCUUUCAUUCCAGGCUCUAGGAGCUUGUUUUAAACCGUAAAGUGCCUUUGAAAGCUUAAAAACGUGAUCCGAAAAGUUAUGUUUUUCAAAACCGGGUGGUUGCUCAACACAAACUUCUUCGGAAAUAUAUCCAUUUAAGAAAGCACUUUUUACAUCCAUUUGAAAUAAUUUGAAAUUCAUAUAAGAAGCAAAUGCUAGAAGAAUUCGAAUAGCUUCAAGUCUAGCAACCGGUGCAAAUGUUUCAUCAAAAUCAAUUCCUUCAAUUUGGUUGAAACCUUGGGCCAUUAGUCUAGCCUUGUUUUGAACCACAACACCUGAUUCAUCUCGCUUGUUUCGGAAGACCCAUUUAGUGCCAAUAACGGUAUCAUCACUUGGUCUUUCCACAAGCGUCCAAACUUGGUUCCUCUCAAAUUGGUUAAGUUCUUCUUGCAUCGCAAUAAGCUAAUUUUCAUCAUUGCUAGCUUCAACAAAAUUUUUAGGUUCAAUUUGAGAUAUGAAAGCCAAGUGGUCACAAAGUAAUCUAAGAGAGAAUCUUGUUUUGACUUUUUGACUUGGAUCUCCAAUGAUGGAGUCCUUGGGAUGAUAAGUGGCGAAUUUCCACACUUUAGGUAAGGGAGUGGGUUCAACCUCUUUAGAGAUUAACUCCUCACUUUUCUUAGAUGGUUCAACUUCUUGGGGUGUGGAGUUUAUAUUUAGCUUCUCAAAGUCAAGAAGAUCAUCUUCAUAAGAAAGAUCCUUUCCCUUAUAUUCUUCUAAUCUCUACCUCCAAUUGUUGAAUUUUAAAAGUUGAAGUUUAGGAUGAAAUUAUGAACUUUUACUCCUGAGAAAUGAGUGCUUUCUCGAAUUUGUUCGAUUACUCUGUACAACAUCAGAGUAAGCACUUUUACUUCGUAAUUUCUUCUUUUAACUUCUAGAUUUAAAAUUCGGUUAAGAAGUAAUACUGUUUGUUGAACUUUUUGAAGUUCAACUUUUGGUUGUUGAGUUUCAAUCGAAUCCACUUUGAUUCUUUUGAGAACUCUUUAAACAACCUCCUUGGUUCAUAGAUUUAUACUACGAACCUUUAGUUCAACAUUUGAAGUUUUUCAAACCCUAUCCAAUACAAGGAUUAGGUUUGUUACAAUUCAACUGUUUUCGAUUCUCUUUCUAUGAACAAUUUUCAUGUCGAGUUUUGGGUUGAAACGUAACGAGGAUAACAUUAUAAUUUCCUGUAGUAUAUAGGAGAACGUUUAUAUUCUUCUUAGGAUUUGAAUUGGUUUAAACCCAACACUUUCCAAAUAGAUUGUGUUUUCCUGGGUUAAAGUGAACCCAUGGUUUCAAUUUUUGAACUAAACAAAAACAUCCACACAGAGGUUAGUUUUCCACGUUCACUGUUUACCAUGAAUCUAUCGCCUACGAGUUCUGUGUACUGAACCCUAGUUUGGUUCAAAUUUAGUUAACUUUACUUUCUACCUCCUAAACAGUGGAAACCUCUGUUGUGAUCUCCUUUCUAGUAACCUUAGCCGUGUUAGCCACUACUUUUCCAAUUGUAAAGGUUACAAGAAAAUCAACUACCGGAAUUUGUAUUAAAUGAUUCAUAAUCAGUUAAUACACUAUUUCCGAUAAAACAUUUUAAACUUCGUAGAGUAACAUCGUAGGAACUAGGAAGAUGUUUACUCCAUCGAAAAUACCCAAAAUCUAGGUUCUUACAAAUAUGGCAACUAAAUCCGUUUGAGAGUGUACUUCCACUUUUUACAAAAAGUCAAGUUUGAUUGCUUAGAACCGAAACCGUAUCUUCUAAUCGUGUACGAUUAUACCUGAGAGAAAGAUUUGAAAGGUUUUCUUUUGAACACUUUCCUAAUGGAUUUUAUCUGAUACGGUUUCCACUCCAAACAUUACGAACACGAGUUCGAUUCGUUCAUUUUAGUAGAAAAUUUGGGUUUUUACAACAGAGUUGUUGAUCCGGAAAUCUCAAUUAAGUAUACCUAGAGAAACCUGGUUAACUACAGAGAUCGGAACCACCUUCGUUGAUACAAAAACAUUAACAACUACUAAUGAGUUCUAAAUGAACCUGAAAUAAAAAUUCUGUGUUCAUACUAUGAAAAUUUAGGAAGUUCCUGAAACAGAUAGCACAAGUUUUACUUUUCUUAACGUAUUAAAAGUUUUAAUCUUCACUAGUACCUCCACUUAAGCUUUUAGUAUUGAAACUUCUCAAAACGUUACUUAACCCUUAUCUUGUAGUUAAACGAUGGGGAGCUUGUGGAGUUGUUUUACCCCAGCAACUCGCGUUUUUAUCUAGAGAGGUUCUUUACCGAUCUAGAUACAAUUAACUCCCCCUCAACGAAUUUAUAAAAACCCGGCUUCGGCAUUUGUGCCGAACGAUAUAAUACUUAGCACAAGAUUAAGCUGGUUAGGAACUCUUUUGAGGAAAGCUUAAUACCGUAUUAUCUUGAGGGUUAUAACCGAUGAAGUUUUAAAAACCAACGUUUACAAAGUAAAAUUUGUGUUUUCUGUUCAACCCUUUCAAACUACGAUUUAGGCUACUUCGAUAUAAGAACCCAAUAAGGAGAUGAUCAUUUCGAAUAGCUCACAUAUUAGCUGCUUGAAAUUAGUAUCUCCUUUCAUACGUAUAAGAAAAANNNNNNNNNNNNNNNNNNNNNNNNNNNNNNNNNNNNNNNNNNNNNNNNNNNNNNNNNNNNNNNNNNNNNNNNNNNNNNNNNNNNNNNNNNNNNNNNNNNNNNNNNNNNNNNNNNNNNNNNNNNNNNNNNNNNNNNNNNNNNNNNNNNNNNNNNNNNNNNNNNNNNNNNNNNNNNNNNNNNNNNNNNNNNNNNNNNNNNNNNNNNNNNNNNNNNNNNNNNNNNNNNNNNNNNNNNNNNNNNNNNNNNNNNNNNNNNNNNNNNNNNNNNNNNNNNNNNNNNNNNNNNNNNNNNNNNNNNNNNNNNNNNNNNNNNNNNNNNNNNNNNNNNNNNNNNNNNNNNNNNNNNNNNNNNNNNNNNNNNNNNNNNNNNNNNNNNNNNNNNNNNNNNNNNNNNNNNNNNNNNNNNNNNNNNNNNNNNNNNNNNNNNNNNNNNNNNNNNNNNNNNNNNNNNNNNNNNNNNNNNNNNNNNNNNNNNNNNNNNNNNNNNNNNNNNNNNNNNNNNNNNNNNNNNNNNNNNNNNNNNNNNNNNNNNNNNNNNNNNNNNNNNNNNNNNNNNNNNNNNNNNNNNNNNNNNNNNNNNNNNNNNNNNNNNNNNNNNNNNNNNNNNNNNNNNNNNNNNNNNNNNNNNNNNNNNNNNNNNNNNNNNNNNNNNNNNNNNNNNNNNNNNNNNNNNNNNNNNNNNNNNNNNNNNNNNNNNNNNNNNNNNNNNNNNNNNNNNNNNNNNNNNNNNNNNNNNNNNNNNNNNNNNNNNNNNNNNNNNNNNNNNNNNNNNNNNNNNNNNNNNNNNNNNNNNNNNNNNNNNNNNNNNNNNNNNNNNNNNNNNNNNNNNNNNNNNNNNNNNNNNNNNNNNNNNNNNNNNNNNNNNNNNNNNNNNNNNNNNNNNNNNNNNNNNNNNNNNNNNNNNNNNNNNNNNNNNNNNNNNNNNNNNNNNNNNNNNNNNNNNNNNNNNNNNNNNNNNNNNNNNNNNNNNNNNNNNNNNNNNNNNNNNNNNNNNNNNNNNNNNNNNNNNNNNNNNNNNNNNNNNNNNNNNNNNNNNNNNNNNNNNNNNNNNNNNNNNNNNNNNNNNNNNNNNNNNNNNNNNNNNNNNNNNNNNNNNNNNNNNNNNNNNNNNNNNNNNNNNNNNNNNNNNNNNNNNNNNNNNNNNNNNNNNNNNNNNNNNNNNNNNNNNNNNNNNNNNNNNNNNNNNNNNNNNNNNNNNNNNNNNNNNNNNNNNNNNNNNNNNNNNNNNNNNNNNNNNNNNNNNNNNNNNNNNNNNNNNNNNNNNNNNNNNNNNNNNNNNNNNNNNNNNNNNNNNNNNNNNNNNNNNNNNNNNNNNNNNNNNNNNNNNNNNNNNNNNNNNNNNNNNNNNNNNNNNNNNNNNNNNNNNNNNNNNNNNNNNNNNNNNNNNNNNNNNNNNNNNNNNNNNNNNNNNNNNNNNNNNNNNNNNNNNNNNNNNNNNNNNNNNNNNNNNNNNNNNNNNNNNNNNNNNNNNNNNNNNNNNNNNNNNNNNNNNNNNNNNNNNNNNNNNNNNNNNAAGAAGGAGUUGAUGUGAAGGCUUGGUGCUUGCCCGCAAAAGCAUCAUCUAGUGGAGAUCCAACAUUCUCGAGUGUUGAGAAGUUGGCGGGGACGUAGGCAAAGUGCCGAACCUCGAAACAAAUUGAUCGUGUGCUUUUCGAGUUUGCAUUUCUUUUAUUUGCAUCGGUUUUUUAAUUUGCUUUAUUAUUUGGAUUUUUAUUUUAGAAACCUAAUUCACCCCCCCUCUUAGGUUGCCAUUUUGAUCCUCAGUCGCAACCUGUCAAGUCAAAUAGUCUUGGUAUUUCUGGAUCACCCGAACAGCAAACAGGCAGGAUCCAAAAGGUCUCAAAAGAUUCGGAUCAACUUUCGGGCGCCCAGAACAGGGUCCAGAAAUUGCAACUUUACAGAACACAGAAUUUGAGCAAUUUUUGAAUAUUUAAAAGUCCUUUUCACCUAAUCAUAAAUUUAGAAAUUUGUUUAAGUGAUCUAUAAGGUGAUAAGAUAAAUAGUUUAAACUUAACUCAAAGUUUCUCACUCUAAUCAUAAGCAUAAUAUUAAUCAAUUAAGAAUGGAGAGAGUGAGUUUGUCUAUUUGACAAAAGAAGCAAACACAGCUUCAAGAGGUGAAGCUUGGUGCCAGAAUAUUGCCCAUCUUGAAUCCUUUUUGAAGAUAGAGAGAUCUAAAACACAAGACUCAAGAUAAAAAGAUUAGUCCAAUAAUCGUGAUUAUUUGUUAUCAUCAAAAUCUAAUAGACGAUUACGGCCAACAAGGAGUAAUCUAAUUAGUUUAAUAGUUGGUAGACAAUGAAGUAAACUAAUUUAGAAAAAUAGCUUAAAAUUUUAUAUAGUUUCGGAUUUAAAAUUUAAAUUUUAAUGUUGAGAAUUUGAAAAUAAAUUAAAAUUUCGAUAUCCAAAAUUUAAAAUUUUAUAAUAUAUAUAUAUAUAUAUAUAUCAUUGAACUCCUAUGCUUUUAAAAGUACGAAGUCAUUAGUACUUGUAAAUUUUCGGCCAUUGGAUUAAAGAAUGUGUGGUUAGGAUGAUGUGGGCCCCUAGGGUUAAGUGGAUGGUUGGUUGAAUAGUAUAAUCUAACGGAUAAAAAUGAUCAAAGGUGUAGAUCUAACGGUAAAAAAUUUGCAAGCAUCAAGUGCUUGAUGCUUUUACAACCACCAUGCCCAUCAAGUGCUUGGUGUUUCAAUUUCUCUUCUUCUUGAAUUUCUCUUUAAUAUCUCCUCCUUCUCUCAUUCUAAUCACCCAUCAAACUUGAUGGGUGGUUAGAAUGUUAGGAGCACAAGGGCUGCUGUGCUCCUGAGUCCUAAUAACACAGUAGCCCUACUAUAUAUAUAUAUAUAUAUAUAUAUAGGUUUCUAUGCUUUCGAAAGUACCGAGGCCUCCAUGCUUGUAAGUUGUUUUCGAUGAUGGGACGUUCGAUUCUGCGAUCAGUUUCGUUAGACAUGAUCAACGUUAUUGGAACUAUCUAAAACCAAAUUUUAUAAUUUUUUGACUUCAUUCGUCUAGUAAACGGGUAGCCUCAAAUUGAACGGCUGAAAAUAAAAAUCUCAUAAAAAAUAGUGAUAGCAGCCCACUAUCACUAUAUAUAUAUAUCGUCUAGUAAACGGGUAGCCUCAAAUUGAACGGCUGAAAAUAAAAAUCUCAUAAAAAAUAGUAAUAGCAACCCACUAUCACUAUAUAUAUAUAUAUAUAUAUAGAGUAGGGCUGCUGUGCUCUUAAGAGCACAGCAGUCUCUGUACUAUAAACUUCUCCACCCUCCAUCUAUCAAGAUGAAGGGCUUAGAUUUAAACCCCACUUAAAAGGCUUCACUGUGUUAAGCCCGUUAAAGUUAACAGAUCACUACUCUCUCUCUCCUCUUUUCUUUUCUUUUCUUUUUUUUUUUUCCCUUCUCCUCUCCCCCCAAUCUCUCUCCCUCUCCUGUGGACCACCGCGGUUCAUCCGUUCGCCGCCGCCGGAGAAGAGAUUAUCCUUUAAAGGUACGCUCUUAGCCGAUUCCCUCCCCGAUCUGCCCUCGCCUGAAAAAACGUCGCCACCCCGCCUGAACCCACCACCCCCGCCCCCGCCUGAAGCUUCCGCGUCCCUAUGUUGGUAGGCACGGCCAACCUGCACACAGCCAGCCCCCUAGGUGCGACCACCCUCUCACCCCCUCCUCGCGCACGCGCUGGUGCGCCACACCCCCACCACCCACUCUUCCCAACCUGGAAGCAAAAAAAAAAGAAAAAAGAAAAAAAAAGAGAGAAAAACCCUGUGCUAUCAAUCCCCUUCCCCCGUCGCGUGCGCGCGCGCGCUGGAGAAGGGAAAAAAAAAAAAAGAACAGAAAAGAAAAAGAGAGAGAGAGAGUAGUGAUUGCUGUUAACUUUAACCGGCUUACACAGUGAAGCGCUUUUAAGUGGGUUUAAAUCUUAAGCCUCCAUCUUGAUAAUGGAGUGAGAAGUAAGAAUUUAUAGUAGCAGGAGACUGCUAGUGACUCUUACUAGAGCACAGCAGCCCUACUCUCUCUCCUCUCAUAUAUAUAUAUAUAUAUAUAUAUUAUAUAUAUAUAUAUAUAUAUAUAUAUAUUAUAUAUAGUAAUAUUAUAUUAGAAUAGGCUAGAAUACCUAUAAUAGCCACGCAAUGACUUGUGCUAUAAGUUUUCCGCCUUGGAUUAAAAGAUGUUGCUGGUUAGAUUGAUGAGUGGGCUCCCCUAGAGUUGAAAGUGAGGUGGUUUUGGUUAAUGGUAUAAUCUACCGGGUAAAAUAAUUAAAGGAGUAAUCUAACGACAGAAAACUAUAGCAUCAUAGUGCUUAGGCUAAUCGAUAGCAUAAGCAGUCGAACUCAUAUAUAAUAUAUAUAUAUAUAUUAUAUAUAUAUAUCUAUAUAUAUAUAUAUAUAUUAUAUAUAUAUAUAUAUAUACUAUUAUAUAUAUAUAUAUAUGAGUUAGGUUUUAUCUUUCGAAAAGUACGGGAGCCUCCGUACUUGUAGAUGUUUUCGAUAAUGGACUUCGAUUCGGCGAUCAGUUCCGUUAGACAUGAUCUGACGCUGUGUGGAACUACCUAGAACCAAUUUCAUAUAUUUUUUUGAUUCGUUUGUUUAGUAAACGAGUAGCUUAAAAUGAACGGCUGAAAAAAAAAUCUCAUAACAGAAUAGUUAUAAAGGAUUCAAAUUUCCAAAUCAGAAGAUUGUCUUACUAAUUGAAUGUUAAGUAGAAUUUCUUAUUAAUAUUUUCAUGCUACUUUGAUACUUCUACACGCUUCGAUACCAACAUACGUGCCAACAUCGGCCAUUAAAAUAGUCUAUUUUGAGACAUUUUGAUCGCUUGGUAAAUGAUGUCAAAAAAUAUAAAAUUUGUUUCUAAAUAGCUCCAAUAAGUAGAUUAUAUUUACGGAGCCGAUCGUCUAAUCGGCAUUCCUUAUCAUCGAAAACAAUUAAGCACAGAGGUCUCCGCUACUUUUCGAAAGUAUAGGAAGAUCCUUCUUAGAUCAUCCUUCUCCUGUCAUCCAUACCUCCUCUUCAUCUCUCUCUCUCUCAUCUCUCUCUCUAUUAUACUUAUAUAAUAUAUAUAUAUAUAUAUUAUAUAUAUAUAUAUAUAUAUAUUAGCAAGGGCUUGCCUGUGCUCUUAAGCAGCCACAGGCAGCCUACUCUAUAUAUAUAUAUAUAUAUAUAUAUAUAUAUAGUUGAGCUAGAAUGCUAUCGGUAGCAAACCGGCUUUGUUGCCACUCAUUUGUUUUCGAUGAUGGGGUCUUUAAAUUGACGAUCGGCACCGUUGAACAUGAUCUAUACCACUUGAAGUAUCUAGAAACCAAAUUUCAAAUCUUUUCGACAUCAUUAAUCUAAUGAUCAAAGAGUUUCAAAAUUUGUAAUUUUAAUAGUAGAUAUGAGGCGUUUUCUCGUUUAACGGUGUAAAGCUAUCCAAAUCAAUUGAACUCUAGUUAGAAAAUUCUUUAAACUAUUUAGAAUAAGAACUAUACUCUCAAUCUUGAUUACAAAAUUCCUAUCAUCACUUUUUAGAGGAUAUUCAUUUUCAGCCGUUCAUUUUUACGCCCACUUGAUGGACAAGAGAACAAUAUCGGAAAAGCAUGAAAUUUGAUUUCUAGAUACUUCAAGUGGUAUAGAUCAUAUUCAAAGGUGCCGAUCAUCGAUUUUGAAGCUCCAUCAUAAAAAACAAAUGGGUGGCAAUGGAGCCCGUUUGCUACUGAUAGUAUUCUAGCUCAACUCUAUAUAUAUAUAUAUAUAUAGUAGGGUUAGGCUUCCGAAUCGACGAUCCACUCCGUUAAAUAUGAUCUAGAGUAUUUGAAACUUUUAAAAAAUAAAUUUCAUAACUUUUCGAAAUUAUUAUAAAGUCCAUCAAACGGGCAUAAAAUGAACGGUCAAAAUCGAAUGACGUCCUAAAAAUGGAUGAUCGGAUCCUUCAAUUUAAGAUCAGAAUUAUUAAUCUCUAUCUAGGUAGUGAAUAGAAUUUUCUAUCAAAAAUUCAAGCUAUUCCAACUCUUUAUACCGUUAAACUAGCAAGUAUCUCAUACCAGCCGUUAAAAUUUGUCAAUUUUGUGAGCUUUUAAUUGUAAGGUAAAUGAAAUCGAAAAAUUAUGAAAUUUGAUUUCUAGAAGUUUUAAAUACUCUAGAUAAUGUUUAACAGUAUGGAUCGUCGAUUUGGAAGCUCUAUCAUCGAAAACAACUUAUGAGUACAAGGGCGAUCGUACUCAUAAUAAAAGUAUAGUAGCCAGACUCUACAUAUAUAUAUAUAUAUAUAUAUAUAUAUAUAUAUAUUUAUUUAUUUAUUUAUUUAUUUAUUAUAUAUAAGUAGGGAGAGAGAGGAGGGGAGAGUUAUGGAGGACACCUGUCAUCUCCCAAACCCUCCUUUAAUGUAAAAAAAACAACAAUGUAUAGAAAUAGAACAGAUGCACCUAAGAUUUUCCUAUAGACCAUAUAUAUGUCUACAAUCAACGGUCUAUGGUGCACCGGAUGAACCGAGUAGUUGAGCCGGACACAUGUCAAUAAAAAAAGAAUACCCCCAAGCACUUUAAUAUAUAGUAAAGUAAUAAUAGAUUUGGCAACUUUUAUGAAAAUUAAUAUUCGACGAUGAAUUAGGGUCUGCUUGGUACUUUAGAAAAUAGUAGAAAAUUAUUAUCUGAAGAAUUUUUUUUUUGGAAAAUUUUUUUUUUCUAAUUUUUGUUGUUUGGUUCGACUAAAAUACAAAUAUUCUCAAGGUCAUUACAAAAGAGUAUACGGUCCCACGCACUUUAGCCGCACCGUCCCUUUGUUAGGUAAAUUAAAUGAAGUUUGAUGCAUCACCUGAUUGAAACAGAUAUUACGGUUCAGUAGCUUAAUUGCAUAGAAGUUUGGUGAAUGGUGACUCCAGUGAAAGCUCGUGACAAGUUCACUAACUAAGGGUGUAAUUUGCACCUCUUUCAUUGAAAACCGAAGUCCUAACGUAACUCAGAAAACUAAAUAAGAAAAAUGUGCCAUGUCCAUAGUUAAUUCGGAUUCGACAAAAAUUCGGUACGGAUAUAAUUCGAAUAAAAUUCGUAUCGCAAUCUUUAAAUUCGUUGAAAAAUACACCUUAAAAAAUAGAUUUGCCAAUUAUUCGGAUACGCAAUUUAUAUGAAAACUAUACGUUCACCAAUUAAAAAUUUAGGAUAAAAAAUCCGGCUAUUAAACUAAGCUUGUUUCCUCUAACUUUAUACUACUAGCAUACAUAACUAUAAAUUCUUAAAAAUAUAAAAAUAGAGAUUUACAAAAUAAAGUAGAUUAAGUAAAAAAAAUAAUAGCAAAUUUUAUUGCCAUCUCCAUCUUUAUCUUUUUCAUGAUCCACAUAUUACGAAAGUUCAUAAAAUUUUUCACUAAUUCGUAAAUAAUUCGGCAAUAAUUCGAAAAGGGAUUUUAUUCAAAAAUUUUGUGCGUUUUUUUGGCCCAAUAGUUCGACAUACGCGAAUUAUUUACGAAUAAUAAAUCUAACCCAAAAAUUUGCGUUUUAUUUCGAAUUUUUGGGAAUAAGUCGCAUACGGACUGUUUUAUUUAGAUUUUUAAUAAUUCACAAAUAAUUCGCGAAUUAACUAACUAUGGUCAUGUCAGCCCAAUAAAUGUUCUGAGAGAGCAUAUUGAUAGAAUGAGACUAUGAUCUACUAUAAAACAUGCAAAGAAAGACAGUUCAAUUGCCAUCCCCUACAGUCAACAGACCUUCUCUAAUUGCAUGCCAGCCUAGUAAGUUUUGUAAUUAAAAGUUUAUCAUGUAAAACACAAGAUACCACAAAAAUUCACCAUUAAAUGAAAUCACAAACUUUUGAUGAAUUUUAAAACUUGGCUAGGCACAGGAAUAUUACUUCACCAUGUGAAUAUAUACCAGAAGCAAAUAAAUGAUUAUCCAAGGCUACUAAAGUGUUGGAAACUAAAAUAUGUAUCCUUUGAUCCCUUCUGCGCCAGAGGAAUCUUAAAGUAAAUAACAUCUUAUAUUAGAGUGAUUGCGCGCUAAGAAAUAGCAAUGCUUCGGUUACAAAAAUAAUAUUAAAAUGCCUAUACAGAAGGAGUCAGGAUUACGUCAAACCUCAUUUUUAUUGUCAGCCUCCUCAGGAACCUGGACAUGAACGAAAAAGAGGGUGACAAAACCUGUCUUUUGUUCAAAUUUUUAAGGAAAAUAAACUCCUGCAGAGUAGAAGUUCGUGCAACUUACUUUUCCAAAUAUAUCAACAGAUGAUCUUCUUAAUUGCAUCCUCUUAAUCAUUCUGCUUGUGUCUCUCAUGUAAGCACUUACUUGAUCACUAAUUUUCUGAGCACAUUUAGGAAAGAAGAAUACGUAACUCAAAUGUGCCAAAAUCUUAAAUAAGCUGCUGUUAUAUAAAACAGAUGAAUAGAGUGAGGAACCUGAUUAAAAGCAUGCAAUUUGCCUCAGAAAGCAGCAGCGCCAGUUCUCACUUGUGUCUUCCUCUGCCACUUGUCUACUUCAUUAUUUCUGAAUGGUGCAAUUCUGCCAAUUGACACAGAUAAGUAUUCAGUUAUUUAGCUAAUCUUCUGUUUGUUUCUUCAAAUUUAGCAGCUACAGGGAUGGACUAGCAAAAAACGGCAAUACAUUUUUUAGCAAUUUUACAUAUAAAAUUGCAAGAUACAGAACAGCUUAUUUUAGCAGCACUUUACUCAAAAAUAUAAAAUUGCUUGACAAGGUAAUUGUUCAACUAGAAUACACAGUAGAACUAAAUGAGAAGAACAACUGUUGCAUUUUACUAUAUCUAUAAUUAAGCAUCAAUAUUCCGCAAGCUUGUUACAAGAACAUGUAAUUUGUUGAGAAGAAAAUUCUAAUAAAAACAAAAGUGCACAAGCAAAGAUGUGAAAGAUGUAAAUAAUGCAGCCCACAUAGAACCCAACAUACUGUAGAUACUUUGCAAAUACAGCAAAAGUGCCAUUGAAUUUCUGGACCUUGGAAGGGAAACUAGAUUUAAUGGCAUCACUAACCAUGCUUUAAGAAGAUAAAAAGGAAAAAAAAAAUAAAAAAUCAGGCUGCUUAUAAAAGCUAUAUUGUAAAAUACUACUGACAAGUUACUUUCUUUUUGUUCAUUCUCAUGAUCACAUUUAUUGCUGAAACAUUGGAAGUAAAUCUGCGGCCGAAAUAGAACCAGGGCACAUGGAAAAAUUCAAUGAAAUUAGAAUUAAGAGCAUGUUUGGUUUGAAGGAUUUGAGGCUUGGAGUGGUAAUCAGACUGAUCCAUUCCCAUUAUUCGUGUUUGGAUUGAGGGAUUGGCAUUUCAAUUCCCAUUCUGAGGGAAAUCGAAUCCCCCAAAAUGAUUUCCCCAUAGAGGUGGAAUCAACUUUGAUUCCGGAAGGGAUUGAGAAAAAAACUUUUUUGUCAAUACGAAUUAUUUAAAUUCAAGUAUUAAUCUAUAUAUUUAAUUUUAAAUUAUACUUUUUAUAUUUGAAUUUAUAUUACAUAUACAAAUUUCAAUUUUUAAUUUCUUAACUUCAAGUUUAAAUUAUAAUGGAAGUUUGCUAUUUAAAUUUGGUCCUAAAAUUAAAUUUUGACUUUGGACUUGAAUUUAAAUUGUAAGUUCGAAUUUUAAGUUCAAAUUAUUAGUCCAAAUUUGGAUUUAAAUUUUGAUUACGAAUUUGAAUAGUACAUUUAAAUUUUAAUUAAAAUUUAAUUGUUUUGAAUUUCAAUUUGGAGAUGAUUUCCAUUCCAAUUCCUCUCAUGGACCAAACAAAUUAGGCUUUUUAUCAUUCUGCUUACGAUUCUGGUCCAUUACUAUUCCUAUUCUAAUUUCGAUUCCCAUUUGAAUCAAAUGUGCCCUAAUAAAGUCCACAGGGAUUGGAUGGAGGACAUACUAAACUUUGAACAUUUUAGUUUAUGUGCCUAAUUAUGCUCAAAAGAGAUGUGGAAAAUAUGAUUAGAGGCCAUAAACAAAGUCAGCAAAUGCAAUAUGAUCCUUGGACUAAUCAAAUAGAUACCUUUAAAACUUAAGUACAAGCAUUAUGCAAGGCGAGGCAAUGUACUCUGCUAUUAGUUAGAGAACUGAAUGCAUAAGAGAGAUCAGAUAAGAAUCAGUUUUAAGAUGAAGUAGCCAAAAGUUAAAUAGCUUUACACAAUAUGAUCACUUCAGAUGGUAUAGCUGUAUACAACAUAAAGAUGUGAAUGCAAUCACGAAAGAAAGGGAAUCCUACUAGGUGAUGUGAAAAGAAGUAGCAAGCUCAAAAGUUAUCCGGCUAUUUGGGAAUAUUCAAGCUGCAAAAAAAUUGCAGGAAAAGAGAGACAAAAUAAGAUUACCAGAAAAAAAGAAAAAAAAAUCAAGGAAACAAACUUCUCUUUUCUUUUCCUUUCCUUUCUUUUUUGCUUUUGUUUUUUUACUAAUAUGAUAGUGUCCUCUUUAUGGAAUAUUAUGGCUGCACUGAAUCAAAUGAAGCAUUACUGCUUGCAAGUUAUAGGAGUAGGAGACAGAAACAUCAGAUUCAUUUCUACCAUAAAUAAUGUUUGAGGUCUCAGUUCAGAACUCCAGAUUUCGAGUGUCAAACCCAUUCCAGAUAUCCUCUAUCAGGCACAAAAACAAUAACCUAAUUGUGUAUCAAAACCAAGAUAAACAAAAUAUCUGGUCUAAGAUUCUAACUAUUAGAAUGACAUAUAGCUUAUCAAAUCAAGUUUCCUUCAUUAAAAUGAGAAUUGAUCAAACACAACAAUAUAAUCCUUAAAUUUUAGUGUGAGGUGCAUGCAAGAUGGUAAAGAUUGUUGUGCCGUGAUCACAAUAACCGAGUGAAGAAAGGCAAUCUUGACAUGCCAACCUGAAGCAAUUUAAUACGAGAGAAACAUAGGGGACCCUUAUUAGGGAUGGCUUAAUUAAAUAAGACCUAUUAGGGAUGGCUUUAUUAAAUAAAAAUAUAUAGUGGCUUGUCAUGCAAAUUCUAUUCUCUUCCUAUUAGUCUCUAAAGUCUCUCCUUAUAUCACUAUAAAAAGGCAUUUUUCUUGACAAACAGUAGGUAAUUGUAAAAAAUCACCCACCCAUGUUUCCUCCUUUGCAACAGAUAUCCUGCUUCUAAAACACAGGCAUUAUUUUCUGGAUGUUCAUUAUCAAAAUUGUAUCAUAUUUACUCUAUCCAAGUGCACUUGCACAUACUACUUUGCCACUAUGCAUACAUCUUGACACAAUAGCAAUUCUUAUAGACUCCAUCUAAUCCAAUCUUUGCUUCCCUAUUCCAUCAAUAAAUAAUUUGAAAAGAAAAAUUCCUAAUUACAUAUGUAUUCAGUUUAAAGCAAAAAAACUAUAAAAUUCAUAAGAAAUUAUAGCUUAUGGUAAUAAAAUUAAUCAAUAUAACAUUCAUCCUUGUCAGAUUUUUUGCUGUCUGCUAGAUCAGAAGAAAAGUAAUAAAAGUAAUCAAUAGAUUCCACAGGGAAAUCUUAAAAGAUCUAAACUAAAAAUGAAUAAAAUUAAGUACAUUUCACAUUGCAAAGGGCCAUGAAUCAUAGAAGAAAUUCACCAUCGCAAACUAGUAAUUCAUAAGCUAUAUACAGAGAAGUUUGAUCUAACGAAAGAACUUUGACUAGAUGAGAAUCAUCCAAAAAGUUAGAGCUAAUCUUUACAAUUAAGCCAUAACACAAGCAUGCAAAAAUCGUAUUAGAGCUCUCUUCGAUAAUAAGAUCUGCCUAAUAAAGCUUAUAGAUAUAGUAAGCGCAUAUUAGGUGCAUUGCUAAGCUUUCAUGCAAGAGAAACGUUCUGCAGCCAAAACAAAAUAAAUGAAUUCUCAAGCAUGCCUAGUUAAAGUAUUAAAAUUAGAAGGCUUAACAAGUAAUUCAGAUCAUACCAUUUGUGCUGCGAGUAAUAGAAAGAUUCCUCUCAAGCAAAGCCUAUUAGCAGUAUUCCAAACCAUAAAUACAAUUAUAAUUAAUAUAAACGAUCAAACAAAAUUUCAUAAUGUAAAUAUUCAACAAAAAGAAAAACCAGUGAAGCAACACAAUUAUACCUCUUGCAGCUCCAACAUAAUUUAAAGUCUGUUUGGAUGACUGUAUGAGAUCCGAAUAUGCCUGAUUUACUGCUAUAUCCGAACCACAAAAUGUAGACCUAAAGGGUUCCGGAGGCAAGCCAAAAGAAAAAUAUAACUACAAGCCAAUAAACAAAAUUAAAUGACAUUAAACAAAUAAGAAAAUCAUAAGGCAUUAUUCAGAGCAAAAUCUUUGAAAAAUCAUACCUUCGGUAAUCUAUUUCACCUUGCAAAUGCUUUCUGCAGUAAGAAUCUGAGCUCCAAAGAUUUGUCCCAAAGUGCCUUUAGUGACAUGAUGUGCAAUUUCCAAUGAGUACUUAUAAAUUUAACUAAGUAAAAGCUUAAACUAUUAUGUUUUGUUCAAGUAAGGUAAAAAAUGUACAGCCUCACAAAGAUUCACUAAUAGAAGAACUUUAUGUACAUGUUGUAUAAUUCUACUGGCUGACAAUGCAUAAAGAAAAGUUCCAUUUGCUGCCAAAUAUUAUUGACUAUUCUAAAUUAGUUAUUUCCAAACAUAACCCCAUCCAGUUCAAUAGUCAUCUAUCACUUUAUUUUCUCUUCAUUUUCAUUUGUCUAGUUUAGCAGCACUGAAAGGCGAGUAAAAAAACAAAAUAUGGAAAAGUCCCACCGGUGUUGAAAACAUGACAACAACAGUUAAUACUUCGCCGGGUUUUUUUAAUUACUACGGAGACAGAAGGAAAGCCGAAAAUAAGAAAAGAAAGCAACAGCAAAUAAAAUAAGAGCAAAUUAGAUUAAGUGCACUAGGAAAGAAAUUAAUGGUUCUAAUAUUGAUUGUUACAAUUUGGAGACUCGAUACAUUCUACACGACCAUAACAAUGCAAAGCAAGGUCAAACACUAAGGGAGAUAUAACAACAGGAGUUGCAAACUACAGUAAAAUAACAAAAAGAAAUUUGAAGAAAAGUCAAGUUACCCUUCUAGUUACAGAAUUACUUCCUUCAAAUUUGCCUACAAUAUCUCUUUUGUUUCAUGUUCAUUAACGAACUAAGUUCUCAAGUUUGAAUGCCCUCGGGACUUAAAGAAUAUCAGAAAUAACCAAUACUAUUAAAUGAUAUGUUAACUGAGGAAAACUUGGAAAAUGAAAACCAUUAUGAUGAAAAUUUUCAGAUAGCAAUUACUGAAAUCAUUUAACUGGUUUCGAUAUGAAAUUAUGAAUUGACUUUCUCAAGACUGAAUUAGGGGGGAAAAAAAUUGAAGGGAAGUUAGAUUUGAGCAAAAAUAAUAUAGGAACAAGUUUUUUGUAAAGUUAUCCAGAGUUCUACAAGAUUGAAUUGCUGUGUAAUCCAUAUAUACCUAUUCAUAUGCAAUGCACGAUCUUAUUUAGCAUAUCUUAGUCCAAAAACUGCUGCAGGUAAAAUCUUCUAAAAGGCAAGCAGCAUAGGAAAGUAUCACUAUCUCGGUACCUUUUGGUUCUUCACUGCCCCACCUUUUAGAGCAUCUUCACCAUUGUGGCGUGUCAAGUUCUUCAAAAGAUUUCUAAAUGGCAAAUCAUGGAAAGAUUCAGAGUGUUAUACUAGUUAGACAUAACGAACAAAAUGAAGUAGCCAAGAACAAACAAUAAUUAUAGAAUUCUUUUACUUGGAAGCAAAUAAGUUCCAAGAAGAAACAAUGAUGAUAUGUUGGACAGAACAGUAAAAGGACAGGAUAACUACAUUAACCAUUGUUAAAGCAUCACAGUGUACUCCACCUAAGUAAAAUUUCAUGUACCAUAGCAGAAAAUUGUGCCCAUAGUACUUAACAUGAUUAUGGAGUAACUAAAUCCCAAUCUAUGUAAAAAUCAUAUUACAUGCACGCAAUAUAAAAAGAGUGUGAAUAAUAUGUUUCCACAACCCACAUUAGAAAUUAGAAUUCAAAUAGCAAUUCAGAUGUAUGAACACAUUUUGCUAACGCUUAAGGUCAGAAAAUGAAAAAAUUACUCUCUUUAAACUAUUUAUUUGUACUGCAUAAGCAUAUUUCUGGUAAAGAUAAUAAAAAGUAAUUGCCACUUCAAAGGUGAACAAUUGCAAGAAAGAAAAAACCCACCAUACAUCAUCUUUCAUUUUAAAUCCACGUUCGAACAUUUGCAAGAAAGAAAAAACUCACCAUAUAUAAUCUUUCAUUUUAAAUCCACAUUCCACAAGCUGUUUGUGGCAAUUUAAGUUAGCUAUAUAAAAUAUUUUGUCAAUUACAGAUACUCAUAUCAAUUGUUGCGACAUUCAACUUGAACAAAUAAUGCAAAAGUUUAUAUGAAAAUUGAACAAAUAUUAUGGAGAUGAGGCUUUAGAGGAGAUCAAAUUGGUGGAAAGGGAUAGGGAGGAUAAUGGUGGAGGAGGGAAAGGGUUCUCUCUUUUGAGCUAAGAGAGAAUGAGAGACAGAGUAAGAGAGGGUACUUAUAAACAACUAUGCUCCCUCAAUACAGAGCCUGCGUACAAGCGAGUUCCAGUACUCCCUUAUUAGUACCGAUGCACUCUUGCAGUUCCACAAAACUCGAGAGCGCCAACAAUGAAAAUCGCCUCAAGGCAUACCAGUACUCCAUCUCGAGUACCAGUUCACGACAACCAGUAUCAAUACCCAACUUGAGUUUCGUAGAACCUAAAUGUUCCCUCGCGGGAAUUAACAUUGAGUGCCAGUACCCCGCAUUUCAGCAACGGUACUGAAACGGGAAUUCGUAAAAUGCGGGUUUCAUUCAGGAACUUCGUUUUUCACACCAUUUUCACGCUAAAAUAGUUCCAACUCAUCUCAAACUCUUCCAAAAAUCUCGCAAAUGGCACGGUAAGCCAUUUUUAAUUGAACCUUAGUAAUUUGCAAAGUGUAGUAUACUACAAAUCCCUUUAGUAUCUCAAAAGGGCCCACUCUUAUCGUACUCAUACAAACCACAUCAAUCACAAACUCCUCCCCUAAAGGUGUGCCAACACACAAAACAUAAUCCAAAGUUUUAAAAGGAUAUCAAACACUUUCGAUGUAAGGUACUGAACUUCUUAAAUUAUGAAGUUACGGUGGGAUGUAAUAUGCUGAAAUUAUAAUAUAAAAAUAAAUAUAAAUAAAAAUAGUGUGAGAUACUAUUUUAUUGGAUUUAUAGACAUAAAAUAUAAGUCUGAAAUGACCCGUGUUGAAAUUGGAGCGAAAACAGAAGAUUUAGAAUUUUCUGUGUGAAACGGGGCAGAUAAAUUAGCAGAAAAUGCACAGUAUCAGAAAAUUCUGAAAACUGGAGGAUAAGCCAGAAUUAUUUUUAUGAGGCUAGAUUUAAAGUUUCAUAUCAUUCUGACACCCGGAAGGUGGAAAAUAAAAUCCGACAGUGAUUUGAUAAAGAUUACAGUUCGGUACGGCUUUCGGUGACCAAACGGGGUCGAAACUGAAAGAUUAAAAUUUCUUUCGUUAAGUUAAGCAAAACCGAAGAUGACUGUCAAAUUUGAGCUCAAACGGAUAUUCAGAGGGCUCCGGCGAAAGAUAUCAGAUUUUGAACUGCCUGGAGUGAAUAGUGUAUGCUACUAUUGGGGUGUUGACUAUAAGUAGAAGCUACUAGGCUUCUUCCUCUUCACAGCCGACCACCACCCCACGCAAGCACACGUUCAUGGUGUAGUAAGAGAAACCCUCUCUUUUCUCUCUCUAAAUAUUUCUCUCAUCCCUCUAUAUUUCUCGCCCAAAUUCGCGGCGUUGGUGGAGACCGAGUUUGCGAACGCGUUGGGAGCGACGGAUCGAGCUUUCGUGCGCCCGUUGGAGCGGCGUGCUUCUGUCUCGACGUUCACAUUUUGGUAAAUUUUUGGGAUUUGGCUCAAUCCUUAACUUUAAGUGUUCUAGUAGUCUCUAAUGAGCAUUCUUAGCAUGUUGCUCCAUUUAAUUUGGAUUAUUUGGAGGUAAUUGCAUGUUAGGGCUCAAAAAUGGGAUUUUGCAAUAUGUGAGGGUUUGAUCUAAAUUGAAUAUAUAUAAACCUAAUUGCUAGGUUUUCUGACGCGUUGGCGAAGUCGGUUCGGCGAUACGACGAGUGUACGCGAAGAUAUUAAAGAACGAAGCCGUUAAGGUACAGAUUGCCGCAGCUCGCGGCGAAAGCUUCUAAAAAUCACGAAAUCAGAACCCUAGCCUCGUGAUAGCGAUAAAAGGUGGGGGGUGUCAUCCCGAAGCAACUGGGCUUCUCCCUAUGUCUAAGUAUUUCUAUGUUGAACAUACUACAUAUAUAGUAUCAUGCAUGUUAGGGUAUUUAGAUGUUACUUUUACUAUUCUUGCAUGCUCCCUUGUAUUGCGGCAUAGUAGGCUUGGCAUGUGAACUUAGGGUGCAUGAGAAUGAGUUUGUGACAUAGAACCCUAUAGAGAUAAGUUAAACAAUAACUUGAUCUUGCAUAGAGGAUAUAUGACUAGUAUAGUCGGGACAAUUGCAUUAUGGCAAGUGACAUGUGAACCAAGUACAUACUUGACGAGUGGCAUAUGUAUACCAAGUAAACAACUUGACGAGUGGCAUUAGAACGUAGUGUUAAAAGAAUACUUGUGCAUGUUGGUCAUAGUGACCGGGUACCUUCGUUGGAAACGGAUUUGAUCAUACUCACACAGUCUGUUCAGCGCUUGUGGCGGUCGCCCCGCACAAGUAGUGCGAGCUCCGGAGUCUUGGCACGUGAAACGAUUGGGAUAGCCUAUGUGGGGUCCCAAGGGAUAGCCUAUGUGGGGUCCCGCAGACAAUCCCUCGGGUGGUUCGAGUCCCCCUUCAUAGACGGAUUUGAGUUGUGAGUCGAGGGCGCGCCUUUGGGCCAGCCAGAUGAUUGGGUAAUGAACUCAGGAAAUUAUGCAUAUUGAGCAUAGUAAGCAUAUUGAGCAUGUUGAGCAUGUUGGGCAUAGUAGAAUUGCAUGUAUACUUAAUAGAGUUAUUAUAGCAUGUUAGAGAUUACAUGGCUAUGUGAUUUACUCUUGUUCUCCAGGCAUAGUAGAACCUUGCAAUUCUUUCUAUAUGCAUCAAUUACAGUUACAGAUAUCUAUCUAUCUGCUUAUGCCUGCUUAGACCUAGUGGGAAGAUCGGCGGAGUCGGCGGCCGAACCCACUGGGAACUAUAUUUAUAUAGUUCUCACCCCACUUUGUUGCAGGGCCUAGCGAGAGAGCACCGGCAGAGGACCGUGGUAAGGGCAUCGCGCCCUAGGUAUAGUUAGCAGCUUCCACUUGCAUUAGUGUACCCUCGUGUACCCCGUGACAUAUGUUGUAUUUUGGGAGGUUGCUUGUGUAUUUUGGAGAUGUAAAUGUAAUCAAGGAUCUAAAUGUUGAAUGCCUUGUGGAUGUAAUAGCUAGAUGCUACUCUCUUUAUAUCACUCGUUUUAUUACUUGUGUCUUGCUCUUAAGUGUAUAGCACAUGUGGUGCUUCGUAUUGUUCAUGUAUGUUGUAUGUCAUCCUGGGCGACAAAAAUGUACAUGAUCUUGUUGUUGAUCCUAGGGCGGACAGGGGAGGUGCUGUCCGUUCGGCGUCUGUUCGACACGUCCGAACCGGACCAAAUUGGUAGCGGUCUCGGGGCGUGACAGAUAAUUAUGGUAUCAGAGCAAGUUAAGAGGAAAUAAAGAGAGAGAGUCUAGAACGACCUAGGAGACCCUAGGACGGUAAACCUUAAGGCUAUAGGUGCGUGAGUGAAACGUGAACCUAAGCCGAGUGGCGGAAAAUAAUUCGAUUGGGUCGAAGUUGUCUAUAUGUCUCUAGUUGCGAAUAGAGACGGAUUCAAGUGGUAUUAGUUCUUGGCUUGAAGUGAGUGUUGGCGGCCGACAACAUGACACCGAGAGUCUAGAAUAAGUAACCGUUGCCCAGGAUCGAUGAUUUAUUUGAUCAGUUGCAAGGAUCUCGGGUUUAUUCAAAGAUUGACCUGCAGUCCGGUUAUCACCAACUCAAGAUUAAGCCGGAAGAUGUACAAAAAACCGCGUUUCGUACGCGGUAUGAACAUUACGAAUUCACGGUCAUGCCGUUUGGGCUCAUUAAUGCCUCGGCAGCGUUCAUGGAUUUAAUGAACCGUGUCUUCAAGGAGUACUUAGAUCGAUUUGUCGUGGUCUUCAUAGCCGACAUCUUGGUCUACUCGCGCAGCGAUGAGGAACAUGCCGAGCAUUUGAGGAUCGUGCUUCAAAUCCUUCGGGAGGAGAAGUUGUAUGCUAAGUUUAAGAAAUGCGACUUUUGGCUCCGAAAGGUUGCAUUUCUUGGGCAUGUCAUUUCCGAGGGAGGAGUAUCUGUUGACCCGAGGAAAGUGGAGGCGAUCAAGGAUUGGCCUCGCCCGACUAACGUCACGGAAGUUCGAAGCUUCGUGGGUUUAGCGGGUUAUUAUAGACGGUUCGUGGAGGGAUUCUCGAAGAUCGUGGGUCCACUUACCCGUCUGGCUCGAAAAGGCGCCAAAUUCAUUUGGAGUAACGAGUGCGACCCGAGUUUUCAAGAGUUGAAGGAUAGAUUGACUUUGACUCCGGUACUCGCCUUACCGGUGCAAGACGAAGAGUUCGUGGUAUAUAGCGACGCGUCACAAUUGGGCUUGGGGUGUGUUCUGAUGCAGGGCGGGAAAGUGAUCGCUUAUGCGUCUCGUCAGCUGAAGAGCUAUGAGAAGAACUACCCUGUCCACGAUUUAGAGUUAGCCGCAGUAGUGUUUGCUCUCAAGUUAUGGAGGCACUACUUGUACGGCGCGCGUUGCGAAAUAUACACGGACCACAAAAGUCUAAAGUACCUAUUCACGCAAAAGGAGCUCAAUAUGCAACAGCGGCGGUGGUUGGAAUUUGCUGAAGGAUUUUGAUGUGACAAUCCUAUACCACCCCGGAAAAGCAAACGUGGUGGCCGACGCGCUUAGCAGGAAGUCAGUGGAGAAUCUUGCUAUGUUGGUUACACACCAGGAGCCACUGUGGAGAGAGAUGGAACGAUUAAAUCUCGAGAUGGUAGCUCCGGAAAUCCCGUCUAUGCUUAUGGCUCUCGUUGUCCAACCGACCUUGUUGGAGCAGAUUAAGAGUUUGCAAUCUGCGGACCCCAAUCUCCAAAAGGUGCAGCGAGACAUCGAGAGUGGACACGGCGGUGAUUUCAGUGUAGACGUUGAGGGUGCGCUUCGGUUUCGAAACCGAUGGUGCGUACUGGAGAACGAGGGGGUCCGGAAGUUAAUAUUGCAAAAAGCACAUCGGACUCCUUAUAGCAUUCACCCGGGUGGCACCAAGAUGUACCGUGAUCUGAAAAUGCAGUACUGGUGGCCGGGCAUGAAAGCUGAUAUUGGGCGCUAUGUAGCGCAGUGCCUUGUAUGCCAGCAAGUGAAGGCUGAGCGUCGAUUUCCAACGGGAAAGCUCCAAAGUUUACCUAUUCCCGUUUGGAAAUGGGAGAAUAUCGCGAUGGACUUCGUGGUCGGAUUGCCCCGUUCGACGGGUAGUCACGACGCGAUCUGGGUGAUUGUGGAUCGUAUGACCAAAUCAGCACACUUUCUACCGAUUCACACCACCUGGUCGGGCGACAAGUCGGCGCAGGUAUAUCUGGAUGAAAUUGUGAGGUUGCACGGGGUCCCGAAGUCAAUCGUGUCAGAUCGAGAUCCCCGCUUUACUUCGCAUUUUUGGAAGAACCUACAAGAAGCACUUGGCACACGACUCGAUUUUAGCACCGCAUUUCAUCCUCAAACAGAUGGGCAGUCAGAGAGGACUAUACAGAUUCUGGAGGAUAUGCCGCGGGCGUGUGUCAUUGAUUACAAGGGAAGUUGGGCAAGUCAUUUGAGAAUGGCCGAGUUCGCCUACAACAACAGUUACCAAGCUAGCAUUGGGAUGGCACUGUUUGAAGUCCUGUAUGGACGGAAGUGCCGAUCCCCUAUAUAUUGGAGCGAUGUAGGUGAACUUGCGGCAUUAGGUCCAGACGUAUUGCGAGAGGCAGAAGAGAAGGUCCGUCUUGCUCGCGAGAGGCUGCUCACGGCACAGUCGAGGCAAAAGAGCUAUUCUGACAAGUGCCGUCGAGAUUUGGAAUUCGCGGUGGGUGACCGCGUUUUCCUGAAAGUUUCGCCUAUGAGGGGCGUGAAGCGCUUUGAGGUGCGGGGGAAGUUGAGUCCCCGAUAUAUCGGACCAUAUGAAGUGUUGGAACGUGUAGGAGCGGUAGCUUACCGGCUCGCAUUGCCGCCGAAGCUCGCGGAUGUGCAUAAUGUGUUCCACGUCUCCAACCCUCGCAAAUAUAUUCACGACCCCGAGCAUGUGAUGUACUAUGAGCCACCGGAUCUACAAGAAGAUCUAAGUUAUGAUGAGUUUCCGGCAAUGAUCAUUGCUCGAGAAGUACGAAAGUUGAGAAAUCGUGAGAUUCCCUAUGUAAAGAUUCGUUGGACCAACCACGAUGAUCGUGAGGCCACAUGGGAACUCGAGGAAGCGAUGAAAGUGCAUUAUCCUUAUCUCUUCGAAGAAAUGCGUUGAGGUAUGAGUUGAUUAAGUUAUUGAAUUCGUUUCGAGGACGAAAAUUUUUUUUUGGAGGGGAGGAUGUAAGGUACUGAACUUCUUAAAUUAUGAAGUUACGGUAGGAUGUAAUAUGCUGAAAUUUUAAUAUAAAAAUAAAUAUAAAUAAAAAUAGUGUGAGAUACUAUUUUAUUGGACUUAUAGACAUAAAAUAUAAGUCUGAAAUGACCCGUGUUGAAAUCGGAGCGAAAACAAAAGAUUUAGAAUUUUCUGUGUGAAACGGGACAGAUAAAUUAGCAGAAAAUGCACAGUGUCAGAAAAUUCUAAAAACUGGAGGAUAAGCCAGAAUUAUUUUUAUGAGGCUAGAUUUAAAGUUUCAUAUCAUUCUGACACCCGGAAGGUGGAAAAUAAAAUCCGACAGUGAUCUGAUAAAGAUUACAGUUCGGUACGGCUUUCGGUGACCAAACGGGGUCGAAACUGAAAGAUUAAAAUUUCUUUCGUUAAGUUAAACAAAACCGAAGAUGACUGUCAAAUUUGAGCUCAAACGGAUAUUCAGAGGGCUCCGGCGAAAGAUAUCAGAUUUCGAACUGCCUGGAGUGAAUAGUGUAUGCUACUAUUGGGGUGUUGACUAUAAGUAGAAGCUACUAGGCUUCUUCCUCUUCACAGCCGACCACCACCCCAUGCAAGCACACGUUCAUGGUGUAGUGAGAGAAACCCUCCCUUUUCUCUCUCUAAAUAUUUCUCUCAUCUCUCUAUAUUUCUCGCCCAAAUUCGCGGCGUUGGUGGAGUGGAGAGCGAGUUUGCGAAUGCGUUGGGAGCGACGGAUCGAGCUUUCGUGCGCCCGUUGGAGCGGCGUGCUUCCGUCUCGACGUUCAUAUUUUGGUAAAUUUUGGGGAUUUGGCUCAAUCCUUAACUUUAAGUGUUCUAGUAGUCUCUAAUGAGCAUUCUUAGCAUGUUGCUCCAUUUAAUUUGGAUUAUUUGGGGCUAAUUGCAUGUUAGGGCUCAAAAAUGGGAUUUUGCAAUACGUGAGGGUUUGAUCUAAAUUGAUCAUGUAUAAACCUAAUUGCUAGGUUUUCUGACGCGUUGGCGAAGUCGGUUCGGCGAUACGACGAGCGUACACGAAGAUAUUAAAGAACGAAGCUGUUAGGGUACAGAUUGCCGCAACUUGCGGCGAAAGCUUCCAAAAAUCACGAAAUCGGAAUCCUAGCCUCGUGAUAGCGAUAAAAGGUGGGGGGUGUCAUCCCGAAGCAACUGGGCUUCUCCCUAUGUCUAAGUAUUUCUAUGUUGAACAUACUACAUAUAUAGUAUCAUGCAUGUUAGGGUAUUUAGAUGUUACUUUUACUAUUCUUGCAUGCUCCCUUGUAUUGCGGCAUAGUAGGCUUGGCAUGUGAACUUAGGGUGCAUGAGAAUGAGUUUGUGACAUAGAACCCUAUAGAGAUAAGUUAAACAAUAACUUGAUCUUGCAUGGAUGACAUAUGACUAGUAUAGUUGGGACAAUUGCAUUAUGGCAAGUGACAUGUGAACCAAGUACAUACUUGACGAGUGGCAUAUGUAUACCAAGUAAACAACUUGACGAGUGGCAUUAGAACGUAGUGUUAACAGAACACUUGUGCAUGUUGGUCAUAGUGAUCGGGUACCUUCGUUGGAAACGGAUUUGAUCAUACUCACACAGUCUGUUCAGCGCUUGUGGCGGUCGCCCCGCACAAGUAGUGCGAGCUCCGGAGUCUUGGCACGUGAAACGAUUGGGAUAGCCUAUGUGGGGUCCCAAGGGAUAGCCUAUGUGGGGUCCCGCAGACAAUCCCUCGGGUGGUUCGAGUCCCCCUUCAUAGACGGAUUUGAGUUGUGAGUCGAGGGCGCGCCUUUGGGCCAGCCAGAUGAUUGGGUGAUGAACUCAAGAGAAUUAUGCAUAUUGAGCAUAGUAAGCAUAUUGAGCAUGUUGAGCAUGUUGAGCAUGUUGGGCAUAAUAGAAUUGCAUGUAUACUUGAUAGAGUUAUUAUAGCAUGUUAGAGAUUACAUGGCUAUGUGAUUUACUCUUGUUCUCCAGGCAUAGUAGAAUCUCGCAAUUCUUUCUAUAUGCAUCAAUUACAGUUACAGAUAUCUAUCUAUCUGCUUAUGCCUGCUUAGACCUAGUGGGAAGAUCGGCGGAGUCGGCGGCCGAACCCACUGGGAACUAUAUUUAUAUAGUUCUCACCCCACUUUGUUGCAGGGCCUAGCGAGAGAGCACCGGCAGAGGACCGUGGUAAGGGCAUCGCGCCCUAGGUAUAGUUAGCAGCUUCCACUUGCAUUAGUGUACCCUCGUGUACCCCGUGACAUAUGAUGUAUUUUGGGAGGUUGCUUGUGUAUUUUGGAGAUAUAAAUAUAAUCAAGGAUCUAAAUGUUGAAUGCCUUGUGGAUGUAAUAGCUAGAUGCUACUCUCUUUAUAUCACUCGUAUUAUUCCUUGUGUCUUGCUCUUAAGUGUAUAGCACAUGUGGUGCUUCGUAUUGUUCAUGUAUGUUGUAUGUCAUCCUGGGCGACAAAAAUGUACAUGAUCUUGUUGUUGAUCCUAGGGCGGACAGGAGAGGUGCUGUCCGUUCGGCGUCUGUUCGACGCGUCCGAACCGGACCAAAUUGGUAGCGGUCUCGGGGCGUGACAUUCGAACAUAAGGAGACAAAAAGGCAAGCUUUUAAGGCUUGCCUUGGAUAAAGUUGUAAUUAGUUGCUGAAGGCUCAAACCCCACAGAGAGUAAAGACUUUUUUACCUUUUUUUUAACACCUCAAUAGUCUCGCAUCGAAUAGGAAAUGAGUUGUGAUCGAAAAUGUAAGAGACCACGUACCAUAGUAAUAAAAAACUUAAACAUUUUGGGCUGGUGGUCUAGGCCCAACAAGUUACUACUGUUGGAGGAUCAGGUCAUUACAAUAAAUCAGGAAAUCUCUUAACAAUAUAAUACAUUUCUUAUAAGGCAUUAGCAUUAAUAGAGAUCAAUUUGUCAAGGAGAGAAGCGGUUGAUUUUUUGGGUUUUUAUUUUUCUCCUAAGCGGGUUUAGGGGCAAUUUCAAUGAGACCACCUCCAAAUGGCCUAGAAUAUAAUAGUAUAGAGACGGUUGUAGGAUCUACCUCUACAAGCACCUUUUCUUGUAGUGUUCUACAAUAUUGAAAACUGAUCUUAGCCUUUAUACUAGAUCUUCCACAGUUUGUUCCUACUUUCACUUGUAUAUUUCUACAGGAACUUUCUAUGAUUCUAAAAGAUGCAGUUGGCUGAUUGCAAUGGACAUAUUGUUUGGGUAGUUAAUGUUAACAAAUUUUCAAUGGCUGUCUGGAAAUACGUAAUUGUUCAUGUGAGUGUAGUGUAAUCAUUCUUUUUUGUAAAAUUACUAAUGACUUUUUUUUAAAUUGGUGACUCAUUUUAUCGACUGAGUGCUUCAUACAACCAACAAAAUAAGAAACACCCUUAUCUAACAUUCCUUGUCGAUCUUCCUAUUUAUAUAGAAUUCUCGAAUUCAAUGAAAAAACAGGAAAAGGGAGAAAAUUUACUCUCAUGUUUUAAAGUUCCGAGAACAACAGGACUAAAUUCAAGCAAGUAUAAAAGCAUAAUAGCUCUGAAGAUUAGAUCUAAAUAUCUAGUAUACAUAAGCAAACUAAGCUUCAAAAAGUUCAGAGAAAUUUUGAAGCAACUUUAUAGCUUUACGUUCAUAACAUUCGUAAUUACUCAUUAUCCGAACACAAUUGGUAUUGUUAUGCCAAGAUGAAAAUUUUGAUGAAAAAUCAUUUGUUCAAGCAUCAUGCUAGAAAAGUUGAGCAGUAAACGCCGCUAAUGAAUGAACCAAUCAAUUAGAUUCUCUAAGCAGCACCAAAAGGGUCUUAUGUUUUUGCACUUAUAACAGUAUUCAAGAAGGUAUACAUAGCAGGAGCACAACUUUCGCAGAUAUAUUGCCAUAAAUAAUAUAAUAAAAUGAGUUAUCUGAUGAAGACAACAAUUAAGAAAGAUAAACAUUACUAGAAGAAAAUCAAAAUGAAAUAAAGUACCAAAGCCUAGAUGAGUGUGAACAAUGGACCUAGAAUGUUAGAUUUCAUCGCAAAGCCACAGAAAACAGAUGUAUCUCAAGCAACAAAAAAAGAUAAUUCAGUACAGAUCUAAUUCAAAACCAAAACCAACUUCAAGGUUAACCACGCACCAAAGCAGUAAGGAAAACAGCAGUAGCAGAUAUCAGGAAGAGCAACAGCAAGGAUAAGAAUAGAGAAAGGAGGAAAACCAAAAAAAAAAAGAUAAAAAACCUCUCGGAGUUAGAGAGGAAAGGAGAAGGUGUAGGUGAACCAAAUGAGGAAUUUAAGUGUAUAAAUCCAAGCCAGUCGAAAUUGUUCCUAAAAGCCCAAAAAAGAUCAGCAGUAGUAAACCAAAAUAUGCCAAAGAAAGAUAUACUUUUUCCUGAAAGCCAUCUAUCUAUAUUGGAUGACACACCAUGAGAUCAACAAAGACACAAAUUAAAGAUCUCAAUUUUUUUCAUGUAUGUCCACAAAAAUACAAAAUCACAACUUUCUCCUAUAUAUUUAAUCGAUACAAUUGAUCAAUGUAAAUGGGGUAAUUCACAUAAAGAUCCCUUGUCAAAGAAUUUCAAAAGAGUCCGAACUUUUUUAAAAAAAUCUUUUUAUAUAAUCCCUGGGUUUUUAGUUUUCCCUUUACAAAGGUCCCUAUUGAGCAUCGUUGUGAGAAAUCUAAGAAUAUAUGAUGAGCACUUUUACUUUUAAUCCUUUUUUUUUGCAGAUUUAACCUUGUCAACAUCAUAUACACAGCUCUUUAUUAUAAUCUUACACUUCCUAACCUAAUAACCUACCCUCAUAAACUUGAUAUACAAACAAAAUUCAAACAAUAAAACAAAACUUCAAUCAUGAAAUAUAAGGUUGCUAACAGAAUAUCCCGAAGUUCUAUUGAAAGGUGCUUAGCAUAGACUAUAAAAAAUAAAUAAAUAAAUUAAAGACUUAUGAAAAGAUGAAAAGCUAAGGACUCCAAAAUUGUCCAAAAAGUCAUGGACCUAUAUAGAAAUUUCCCAAAUACAUCAGCUCAAACUCAGAAUAAUCAUUUGUUGUAGAAGCAGGAAAGUAUCUCGAGCACAAAUAUGCACAAAAUGAGACAUAUCUGGCAAGAAAAGGAAAAUCAUCACUUAUUAACUAAACUAAGGACAGCCAAAUUUGAAAUCAUGUUCAAAACCAAACUAAGGACACCCAAAAUUAAAUCAUGUUCAAGAAUUGCUCGUGUUGCCUAUGCCGCCCCAUGCCGACCAUGCUGAGGCUGUGGCCGCACAUGGCACAGGUCAUAUUGACACCACAUUGACAAAAUAAAUUUUUACCAUAUUUUUUUAAGUCUUUUUGAGUUUAUCUGAAAAGAAAGGUAUUGGAAGCAUUUUUCCAUACUAUAAAUAUGUAGAUCUUACGAAUCUGGUAAUAUUUGGAGCAGUUAACGAGUUCCGUUGCAUAAUUACACCAACUUUUAGUGAAAAACUUUUUUUACAAUUUUAGAUUGAGUGAAUUUACCCAUGGUAGUGUUUUCCUAUAAAUUUUUACCAAUUGUGACUUUUGGAGUUUUAUUUUCAUGCAUAUAAUAUCACAAUACUAAUCAAAAAAAGCAAACCAAAAUUCCCUUACUAUCUAAAUCCUGCCUUAGCCAAUUAGUAAAACUAUCUUUCUUCAGAUACAGCACACAUGCAUUCAAAUUAACUAAUUUAACCAGCACGUAGUUACAACGAAGUGAAGUUCAAACAACUAAAAUUCAUAACUAGAAUUUGUUCUGCAGAAUUAUAUGCAUAAAUCCUUGAUAGAGUAAUAUAUUUCAAGUAGAAUUUAUCACAUAAAUAAACUAAAAGUGCCAAAAGUUUCUAAAUAUUGUCUUACAUCUUUCUGAAAUUGCAAGUUUCACGAGUUCUCCGCUGCAAGAUAUGAUCUGGAAUACUAAGGAAUGGAUGUCCCAUCAAGCAAGGCCUAACAGUUUAACCAUCAACCAAAAAUCAGCUCAAAUAGUACAAGAAAGGCCACAUUAAACUUUUGUUUUGAUACCAAAUUAAACACAACACUAGAUAAAGUUGCACCUCGUUUGUUCGCCUGAGACUGAUGUUGUAACUCUAAAAAGUUAUUGUAAGUUGCAGGGCCGUGAGGGCAACAUAUUUUCUUCUUUCCUCCUUUUAAAUGUGCGAGAUCAAAAUCAAAAUUCUUCUCCUCCACAAAUCAACCUUUCCCUCUCACAUCUCUUUCCCCAGUUAAGAUCCAUCUUCGCAAUCUUACCUUCUAUGCUUAAGAACCUUGAAAAUUGAAGAGAUUGAGAUUUGGUUUUUUCAGUGUAAGAUUCCUCCCCGGUUGAGUUCUCUCCUCCCCAAAGUUUAACCUUUUUCUCUCACAUUUUCCCCAAUUUGAGACCCAUCCCUGCAAUCUCUCUCCCUCUCCCCCUUUCUCUCCCAAAUCAGAACUACUGAAAAUUCUGAGGACAUCAAGUCCUGAAACAACGAACACUAGCCUCUUAGCUGAUCGAUAGAACGCUCAUCCUAGUGGCUUCACUCAACUGGCUCCUUUCAUAAUGCGUCUUUCUGUCUUAUCACCCUAGUUAAGCUCUUCUUCUUGUAUCAACAUUUUCACAUAAACAGCACUUUCGUAGAAGCCGCACUUGAGUCAAAGAUACCUAAACCAAAAGAUUGAAGUAUUGCACACCACUGUAUGGAACGAUUGCAUUAUAUACGGUCGACUUCAUGUCGAAAGUGUUAUAUUAAGAUUUAAGCAGCAGCCAUUUUUUCGCAGAGACAAAACAACAAACACCUGGUGAGUCUCUCCUAAUCACCAAACUUCCAAGUCCUUUGGCUCUCCAUCGCCGACCAACCCAGCAGCAGCUGCUCUCUUCACCCAAAACUCCUCAACAUCGCCUCCCUCAUCCCCAUCAUCCUCACCACCCUCUUCACCGUAAAUCUCCUCCCAAUCCUCCCCGCCGAUCCCGAACUCGAGCAAAUCCUCAAACCCAUCCUCUUCCUCUUCUUCCUGCUCUUCUUCUUCUUCUUCCUCUACGCCCCUACAAUUAAUAUUGUCGAUCGGCGUACCUCUCCUCAUCUCUCUUCUCAUCCUCUUCCCCUCCCUAACCAACUCCAUCAGCCUCUCCCUCUCCGCAAGCAUCUCAUCCUCCACGGCAAGCUCAUCAUUGUAGCUGUCACUGUUUCUGUUAUUAUACGGGGAGGGGGCGGGGAGGGCGUGGAAGCGGAUGAGGUAGUCGCGGUGGCGGCGGCGAAGGUUGAGGCCGCGGGGGAGGGGGAGGGGGAGGUGGAGGUGGUGGAAUUUGAGGGGGCGGUCGAGGAUGCGGUCGGAGGAGGGGGAAGGGGAGGGGCGGAGAGGGGGGGAGGGGGAGGCGAGGGAGGGGUCCCAGGAGGUGAGCUGGAGGGCGCGGCCGUAGGAGGUGUCGACGAGGGCGAAGCGGUGGGGGUGGCGGGGGCAGACCGCGGAAGGGAAGUCGCGAGGGAGGCCGAGGUCGGGAGCGAGGUGGGCGAGCUUGGCGAGGAGAAGGCGGCCGUGGGGGGCGAGCAUGAGCAGGCGGUGGAGCUUGGCGGGCAGGGAGGACUGGAGGGAGGACUGGAGGGAGAGCUGGCGGUCGGCGAGGGCGGAGGCGGCGGGGGUGAGGGCGACGGAGAGGGCGGAGGAGGUGGGCGAGCGGAAGAGGCGGAAGAGGGAGGGGUAGCGGAGGAUCAUGGGGAGGAGCGGGCGGGGAGGGGAGAGGCCGAGGUAGGGCCGGCAGCGCCGGAGGACGCGGAGGGGGAGGAAGCGGCGGCGCUUCGACAGCAGCAGAGCCGUCAGCUUGCGGGCGAACCGGAGCCGGCUGCUCCGGGCCGCCUGCCGGUCCAGCGCGGGGCACCGCACGAUCUUCGCCUUCGGAGGGGGAGCGGCUGUCGGCGAUGGAGAAGAGGAAGAAGAAGAAGAGCAGCGAAUAGUGAGAGUGUUUCUUCGCGCAGCGCUGGUCGGAAUAUUAUUUGUUCUUAUCAUAGGUAUUGAUAUUGGUGUUGCUUUUGUUGCUCCUGAUUUUAUUGUUUGUUUGGGAGGGGUGGCGAGGUUUUGGGGUUUUGAGAUGAGAGAAGAGAGAAAAAAGGCCAUGUUCAGUGGAAGAGAAGGAAAACAGGAUGGGGGAGACGAUGGUAAUUGGAGAGGGAAGAGAGCCAGAUCGGCGUAUUAAAACGGAUAAAACUCCGGUGGGACCUCCCGGUCGAGUAGCAUUUCCUUGUGGAGAGAUCGAUCCGUGAUACACGGUAGUUUUGCCUCCAUUGAAUAAUUUAUUGAAUAUUUUUAAUACUAUUAUCUAAAACAAAUGGCCAAUUUGCAUAAAAAAUUCACAAGUUUUGAGCUUGGUAAAUUUUUACCGCCUUUUUUGAUUUUACAAAUUUAAUUUGAAUUUUCAACAAACUAAUCAAAAUACCCUUAAAUUUUUUUCUCUUGUUUUUUUUUUCUCGCGCUCUUUUUUGUUUUUUUCUUCGAAGGAGGCGGCGAAGGCGGAAACGGACGCGGCGAAGGCGGAAACGGACGCCUCGCCUCUACCCUUCACGCCCUCGCCCUCGCCCUCACCCGCACACCCCCGCCCUCCUCGCCCCCAACCCCGUCGAGGCCGCACUGCGCUGCGACUCUUUUUUUUUUCUCUCCAACUCUCCUCCACAGCCUCUGCGACGAUAGCGAGAACGGUACUGCGUCCCUUUCCUGCGCUUUCGCCUUCUACCUCCACUACAACAGAUUUUCUAUCCGCCAAACAAACCCAUCGUCCCCUUCGUCCGCCGACGACGAAGAGGAAGUGCUUCUUGGGGCCAAGAAGGGAUGUGCGGUAAGGGGACUAGCAUCGUUCGUCGACGACGACGAAGAGGGAUAGAUCUAACAGCAGAAAACUCGAUAGCAUUAAAUGCUUGGUACUAUCGAUAGUAUAAUAGCCAGACUCUAUAUAUAUAUAGACAGGUAUAACGGCAGAAAACUCAAUAGUACAAAGUGCUUAGUACUAUCAAUAGUAUAGAUAGUAUAGUAUAAAGAGAAAGAGAGAGAUAGAGUCCGGCUACUAUAUUAUCAAUAGUAUCAAAUGCUUGGUGCUAUCGAAUUGUGUGCCGUUAGAUCUACCUUUUUGACCAUUUUCACCCGUUAGAUCAUAUUAUUCAACUAACCACCCACUCAACCCUAGAGGAUCACUAUCAUUCUAACCACACAUCUCUUCAUCCAAAGACUGAAAACUUAAUAGCAAGUGUUCGAGCUGAGCUCGAGCGAGCCGAAUAUUGAGUCGAACACGAGCUGGCUCGCUCAUUUGCCAGCCCUAAUUAUUGCAUUGGACUUGGUCCGAAUAAGUUCAUGUUUUUUUAGGAUUUAAUCCUUUUUGUUUAUUUAUUUGAAUCAAUAUUUAUGUUAGAUUUUUUACUUUUAAUUUAAUCGUCGAAUUUUUAAGUUUGUUUUACCAAAGAUGAAGUUUAGAUUGGAAAAGAUUAACUGUUGAUUGAUAAAAAAUGAAUGAUACAAAAAUUAGAUGCAUGAAAAAUAAAUUAAAUAUAUAUAUGUAAUUUUUUUAUCAUAAUGAACUUAGUCUAAAGUAGGCUGAACUCAAUUUUGGUAUAUUAUGAAACUUUUUGAGUUUCGAAAGUUUCAACCAAAAAUGAAAUUAUAAAAAACCAAACAACAAAAGUAAAUAUUUAUAACAAUCGUAAACCACUGAGUCAAAACAAGCAUACCCUAAGACUAAUAUACCAACACACCAGAUGCGGGUAAUAAUUUAUUUCUAAGAAUAAAUAGGGAAAAAAAAAGUAAUCUAGUUUUAAAAUAUUUAGCAUGCCAAAUAUCCAACUGCCAAAACAAUGAACAUCUUUAAAUCUUAUGAAGCCUCAGUUUUCUACUGAGGUGGCGUGUUCCUGGGUGUGCAGGCAUUCUCGUUCGCCUCGCGCUGCCUUUCUAUUACUGUGUCCACACCAAGCGGGGUGUGCCCCUCGCCUCUCGCCGCCUUUUUAUUACCGCGUCCACACCAAGCAGGAUGCACCGCUCGCCUUUCAUUUAAUGCGUUCACACGCUGAACGCUUAUGUCUCCGGCCCUUUACAGUUCCUGCCCUCUCAAUGGCCGUCCUGUCGCCGUCGCAUCGCCGUCUACGUCGCCACCAUGCCCGGCAACAUCAUGCUACGCUAACUGUAUGGUCCCAGCCGUACGGCUUCCUUCGCUCCUCCGGUUCGCCGAAUCGUGCCGCUCACCUUUCAGCAGCCAAUCAUGUGAAACCUUCCAACUAUGCAGCUAUAUAAAGGUCUUGCGCUCCUCUUCUCCGAUAUCGACUGCCCUGCUCCUCCCCUGCGUCCAUGUGACGCCCCAACUUCCCAGGGGGUCACCCAUCCUAGGACUACUCCCGUCCUAGCACGCUUAACUCUCUUAACCUCUUGGGUCUAGCCACCACCCAAAAUGCUUAAGCCGGGUUAAGAGUUUAGCCCUAUUAAUAUCUCAUAAAUAGGACUAUCUGGGGUCUCACAAUCUCCCUCCUUUAAGCCUGACGUCCAUUUAAGCCCUGACGUCCUCGUCAGGCUCAGACUCACAAGUACCAGCCGAUGUGAGACUCAUCUCGCUAGCCCGUUAUCCAGACCCUGGCUCAGCCGAGACUCAUCUCACACUUCCGCCUGGUAAUUGGCUCUGAUACCAUCUGUGAUGCCCCAACUUCCCAGAGAGUCACCCAUCCUGGGACUACUCCCAUCCUAGCACGCUUAACUCUCUUAACCUCUUGGGCCUUACCACUACCCAAAAUGCUUAAGCCGGGUUAAAGUUUAGCCCUAUUAUAUCUCAUAUAUAGGACUAUCUGGGGUCUCACAGUCCAGUCCCCCCCCACACGCCCAUGUCUCUGUUCGCUUUUUCCUUCCUUUUUUAUUUUUUUACCCCUCUCUUUCUGACCCACCUGCCUCGCUUUUUUUGUUCCCCCCUCCCGCACCACCCCUUCUUUUCUUCUUUUCUUGCUUUUCCCUACUGGCUAACACAAUUUUCUAUCCUUGCUAGUUGUGUGUUGCCUGCUGAGUGCGGUCGCUAUGUUGCUGCUUCUGUCACUCUUGAAUUUUCCCGCCCUCCUGCGCGCUGUUUGGUACGUCAACAUUACAUCCAUUCCCUAAAUAUAUGCAUGUGAUCUUCCUGCUAUGUGUGUUCUCUAAUAUGUUUUAGACACUAAAAUAAUAAAAUAGAACCUUAGGUCGUAAACAGUAAUUUUUCAGUUUUAUCUAAGGAUCCUUUGUUAGCAAUUAUCGAUGGAACGCAGAGCAAAACUACAGUAACCUUCGCCAUUGCAAUCCUCGGCUGUGCUAAACUCUGAAUUAAAACCAUGAAUAUCACUAAGUAUCCACCUCCACUACUAAAUGACACGAGUACUAAGUUGGACUAUAUGGUGCAAAGAGUAGGUGACUACCUUUUUCCUUGAUAUGAAUUAAGUUCUAUUGAAUAGUCUAAUCUAUCCUAACUUAUUUGCUUGGCUGCAACAAUGGAGGGCAUAAUUAAUGUAUAUUGGAUUAUUACAAAAAAACUUCAAAAUAUACUAUUAAAAAACUUCAAAAUGUAGGCUGCAUUGAAUUUCCCUAUAAAGAAAGCAUGCUUCUUACUACUUCAUUUUCACAAUCAGAUCAAUAUAUAUAUAAGCAAUGAUUUAAACUAUAAUAUUAGCAAUGAUUUAAACUAUAAGACGGGUGACUCAUUAAAAUUUGAGGAUUAACAUAUAAUGUGUCUUAUCGUUUAAGGACUGAAAGCGUAGUUGGGAACAAAUAAUAGAUAUAACAGAGAUGCAUCACACUGAUGUACAAAAGUAUCUAACAUGAUAAGAUUUUAUAAAAUGACCAGAAAUCCUUUCAGGAUGCUUUAGAAUGUAUUGUUCAUUAAAUGUCUCUUUUCAUGAGAUAUUUAUUUAUAUAUUUAUAUUACAAUAUGACAAUCUAUACUAAACCUAAUUGGAAUUGAUGUGCAAUCUACAGCGAUGGCGGCACCGGUUGUCAUCGAUAUUAGCUUUCGUAGACUACUCCGCAGUAUAUGCGCAAAGUUUUCUCUUCGGAGUGAGUUUAGAUGCUACAGGGCGGUUUCGAGCUUUUGUAGAUGCCGCGGUACCUAGGGUCGGCCCAAUGAUGGAGAUGCUUACAUGCUGGGGUACACCAUCUACAAACAUCAGACGGACCCAGGAGGAUGCUGCUUGGACUGCUGUCGAGAGGCUUCGUGAUGAAUUACAUUUUGAGAUCAAGGAUAGCAACUAUGAGGAACGACAGUUUUACGAGAACUUAUAUGACCAGAUUGCUAGCAAGUACGAUGCACUGCAGGAUCAACAUGAAUUGCUUAAGGUAGACUACGGUAUUCUGAAAGGGCAAUAUAAUUCGCUGGUGGACGAAAAUGCAAGGCUUGCUACUAAGUGGAAAGAAGUGAAGGCAGAGAUUGGCAAGUGUUUUGCAGUGGCUAAUAGUUCCAAUGUUGUUCCAAUAGAUAAGGGCCUUGCAACAUUGAACACUGAGCUGCCAGCAAUGCCUUCUACUGAGAAUGCAGCAGUGGGUAAUGAUGUAGAGCAUGCAACACCAACCAAGGAGGACCCCGCAACACCUUCUGGUUAUAGGGACUGAGUUUUGUACUCUUUUCCCUUUAGUUAUCUAUGUUUUGCUUUUAGGGGAGAGAGGCCGGUUGAGUUUUGGGUUUGUUGCCGUUUCUCCCUGCCUAUUAGCUUUAGUGAAAAACUUGAGGGUUGUGCAGAUUUUCCUUUUGUUAUGAUGAGAUUUGCGCUCCCUCUUCUUUUGGUGUAAUCUUUAGUAUGCUGUAUAAAGAAAAAACACGUUUCUUUUUUGCUAGCUAUUGUCCUUGAUAUUAUAUUUUCUGCCCUGAAUUUUGAUGCUGUAAAAAAUUUAUAGGUAAGCGAAAUAGAGGAAUCAUAAAAAAAUAUUAGUCACUUGGAAAGCAUUUGUGGCAACAAAAAUGACAUUAACUUGAGUGGCAAAUAUAUGCUCAAUGCAGCUCCAAGGAGUGGAAUCAGCAAGAUCGGUAGGUAUGAACUCUAAAAACUCGAAAAACUCCAAAACUAGCAAUCAAAUGUGCUCGAAUAGUUGAAACUGCUACUAUAAAAUCUGCCAGAAUUUGACAAAUUCUGGAUCUAAGCAAAAUUAAUAGUACCUACCUUACUAUCCAACUGGACAAGAGUUCCCCCAGGUUUGUAGGCUCACAAUGAAACAAGAAAAAAAAAAGAAAUUGCCACUCUACUCGAAGAUGAAGAAAAAUGAAAUUUAGAAUCAAAUUCUAACAAAAACUCAUUUCGAAUUCAAAAUCUACUAGAAACAUCAAGUCAACUUACCAGGCAAAAUUUGCUCCUAAACUUCAGCUACAAGAAUGGACUAAAAACAUUAACGAAAUCCACAAACACGCAACUCUAACAGCAAUUAUCUCAAUGAAACACCAACUCACAUGAAAUUUAGCUGAAAGAAUUGAUCCCCCAACUCAAGCACAUUCCAAUUUGAUAAUUGGAAGCUCCUAAGUCACCUAAUUUCCUCCGCAGCAGCUUGCACACCUUGACUGUUGCUGCUGCAGAACCUACUGCUGAUGGCUGCAGCUCAACUUGCUGUUGUGCUGGCUGCUGUCCACUGCAAUUGAUUGCUUCCUUGCUACUGCUGGCAGCAGGUACUGCUGCUGAAAUUGCUUGAAUGCUGGUAGCCAGCAAGAAGAGAAAUAGGGAAAGGAAGAGAAGAAGAGAAAAAUAGAGGAAAGAAAAGAAGGAAAAGAGAAGGAAGAAAAAGAAAUGAAGGGGGGGGAGGGUGCAUCCAGCUGCCUACUACCAGCCAAAAACUCCAAUUACUUGGUAGAUAAAGCAAACAAUACGUCAGAAUGACUAUUACCAGGCAAAAAAUCCAAUUAGUUGAUAGGUAAAGCAAACAAUAAAUCAGAAUAGUGCCAGUGCCUCUAUUUUCUUUCACAGAAGAUAGAAUUCAAAUCAUAAUUCUACUUAUAGAAUUGCAGUUCAAAUCAUAAUUAGAAUUGGAACUCCUAUCUUAUUUGAACUCCAAUCUGAUAUAUGUCAUAUUGCAAUUUAGACCAAUUUUAUACUUGAAUAGAAUUCGAGCUCCAAUCUGAUUUGAAUUUCAAUACAACUUGCAUUGGAGCUCCAAUCAGGUUGGAGCACAUGUUAAUUUGGACCAUCAGUUUUAUUGAGCUUUAUCUGCUCAACAUAGUUUUAACUUCACCCCGAUUUUUUUCUUACAAUUUCUUUCUCACGCAUUUGUGAUUUCUUCAUUCUUCACCUACACAAAUGGCCCGCGGCACCGCGUGGGACCUAUACUAGUCAGAAUGAUGUAUGAAGCAGGAGGGAUGAAGUUAAAAGAAGAUAAAAACAAAAAAUAACACCAACACCACAACCAAUAACAACAACCAAGCACUUGAAUAAUAAUAAGAAAAUUUUUUAAGUUUCGAGCUAAAAGCCAAAGUUUGAUUUUGAAAUCUCUAGAAAAGAAGAGAUCGAUUUGCUCAAAAGACUCAAAAUUGAAAUCUUCUUUAGCGAAAAUGCGUAAAACAAAUCCGUUAAGCAAGGAGCUCCUUGCUUCUUCAGCUGCAACUUAUUUCUGACUAGUGCAGAACCCGCGCUUCGCAGCGGGUAAAUAAUAUUUAAAUUAAUUAACAUAUAUAAGUAUUACAAUUUUAAAAUUAAAAAAUUAUAACUAACUAAAAAUAUUAUAAAAUAAUUUUUAUAUAGUUACAUUAUUCUAACAACUUAAUAUAAAUUUAUAUUUGAUUUAUAAUUUAGAGCCGGUGUACGAUAUAGUUAAAACAGAAAUGUAGGACCCCAAUCGAGCCUGUCUAAAGUGUAGCACAAUUAUUAAAAUUAAAUUUUCUUAUUAUAUUCGCAUGAAAUUAGGGGUGGAAACAAGCCGAGCUCGAGCGAGCUUACCUCGGCUCAAAUUCGGCUUGAAAUUAAUUUCGAGCCUAAAUUUAAGCUCAAGCUUGGAUUGAAAUUAAUUCGAGCCGAGCUCGAGCGAGCCUAAUUUCAAGUCGAGCAAGCUCGAGCCCUAAAUGAGCCGCUUGAAAUUUUCAACAUUAUACAAUCAAUAGUUAACUAGAUUUUCACCCGUGCGAUGCACGACUAAUAUAAUAAUAUAGAAUAAUAAAAAUUAUUAUGUGAUGAUAACAAAAAAAAUUUUUAAUUAAUUUUAUAUUUUUUAACAAAUAAAAAAAUAUAUUAUCAAUCUUAAUUAUAGUACAUAUUAGAGUACACAAGCUAGAGAAAAAAAAUUUUGGACCAAAAUAAAUAUUCAACUAAAAUGCGAAAUUCAAUUCUGCUCUAUUAUUUAUGAAUUGGUAUGCAAAACAAUUUAUAUUUACAUAUUGAUAUGCGAAAUAAAAUGAUAACUAAAAUUGAUAUGAAAAAUUACAAAUGACAUUAAUAUUUAAGCAUAUAAUGAGAUCAACUAAUUCUCUAUUUGACCAAAAUUAGAGUAAGCACACAUAUAUUAUGUUCGUACUGUCGCUUUUAAGAUUUAAAAAUAUAUAGAUGUUGGUUUUCAAGAAAAUAUAAAGAAAAAAUUUUGUUGCAUGAAGAUGAAAAGUUACAUAAGUGACAGAAGGGAAAAAAAUUACGAAAUGAAAAUUACAGAAGUGACAGUAGAAAAUAAUAUGUUCUAUUUUAAAGCAUCAAUAUUUAGAGCGAAGAAAAUUACAGGAGUGAUGUGAGUUUUAAAUUUUUUCUCUUUCCAAAAAUGCCUCUAUCCUUUUUUACUAAUAUUUUUAUGUGCAGAAAUUUUUAACCAAUCAUUUUUAAAUAAUUAACUAAGUAAAUAAUUUAUUCCCAAAUAAAGAUAAAUAUUUUCCUUCUCACGCGUAAUAUCCGCACCGCUUAAAUUUGAAAAUGAAAUCGUAUCUUACAUUUUGAUCAGAAAGAACUAACUCUAUAAAAAAAAAUAAAGCAAAUGCAUGUUAAAUUUGAAAAUGAAAUCGUAUCUUAUAUUUUGAUCAGAAAGAACUAAUUCUAAACUAUUCACCAUCUCUGGGCGAUGAAAUUCAGGCAUAGUAUACAGACAAAUCACUCUAACUUUGAUCUUUCCAUUUGUCUCCAAGAGGAGUAUAUCACGUAUUGAAUCAUGCCCAAGUGCCAUAUCCUGGAAAAAUAAGACAUCCAAUAAAAAAUUAAUACAUCAUAUUUAAAUAAUAAAUAAAAAAAUAUAUGUUCUAUUUUAAAAUCAACAUUUAAGAACUAAGAAAAUUACAGGAAUGACAGUAGAGAAAACAAAUUACAAAUGACAGUAGAGAAAAAAAAAUUACGAAGUAAAAAUUAUAUCUAUACUACUUAUAAAUUCUUUCGCAAAGAAUAAUUUCAAAGCAUCCGCCAAUCAUUUCGUUUUUACUUUGGUCAUCUAUACUGAUUUUUCGCAACCAAUCAUUUCAAAUAAUUCGCAACAGAUUAUUACGUAUUUCGCAACCAAUAAUUUUAAAUAAUUAAUUAUUUGCCACUAUAAAAUUUGAGUUUGAACAUUUGUUUAGCAACUAACCAUUUCAAAUAAUUCGCAAAGAUUAUUGCUUAUUUCGCAACCAAUAAUUUUAAAUAAUUAAUUAUCUGCCAAUACGAAAUUUGAGUUUGACCCUUUUUUUCGCAACUAACCAUUUCAAAUAAUUCGUAACAGAUUAUUGCUUAUUUCGCAACCAAUAAUUUUAAAUAAUUAAUUAUCUGCCAAUACGAAAUUUGAGUUUGCAACAGAUUAUUUCCACCGCGAAAAAUAAUUCGCAACAGAUUAUUGCGUAUUUCGCAACCAAUAAUUUCAAAUAAUUCGUAACCAAAUAUCCAUAUUUGAGUUUGACACGUGGCAAGCAUAUAGAAAGCCACGUGUCAGCUUCUCACAUAGAGUUCAUUAAGGGUUCUUAUUUAUAUAUAGUAAUAGAUUUGUAUAGAACAUUAUCUAUAAUUUGAUACAAAAAUAUGUCUAAUAAUUCAAAGUACAAAAUAAUUAUAUGAAAUAUAGUAUUAUAAUAUAAAAAAAAUAAUUUAUGAGUUGAAUAUCUAAUUUUUUUCAGUCUCACAUGUCUUUUCUUCCGCCUUCAAUCUCUAUAUUAUUCAUUUUAUUUAUGGCAGUCAAAAUAAAAUAAAUUAUAUAGAUAAAUAUUGGAUUAAACUAUCAAUCAUAUAACUAAAAUUAAAUUUUAUAUGAAUAAAAAUUUUUAUUUAAAAAUAUUCUGUAUAUUUUUUCAAGCAUACAAUUAAUAGUAAGGUAGGCAACGGCGGGCAUAUGAUGUUACUUGGUAACUUAGAGGGCUUCCGGCUUGGCCACUUAGGGGUGAGAGACAGAAAAAGAGAAAGAGAGAAACAUAUUGAAAAUUUAGAGCUCUGUGAAAGAAAGAAAGAAAGAAAGGAAAAAUAUAUAAAUUUAGUAAAAUUUUGCUCUUUUAUUUGUCUAUUGGGUUUGUUUUUAUGGCCAACACAUAUUGGCCCAAUUUUAACUAAACUCAGAUUUUCACUCAGCCUAUAUAUAAUUAAAAUAUAUUAUAUUAUAUAUUUUGUUAAUAUAUAUAUAUAUAGUGUAGAAUUACUAUGCUAUCGAAAAUAUAGAGGAUUUGAUGUUUUCGAAUUUUUGACCCUUUGAUUAAGAAUUGUAUGGUUUGGAUGAUUGCGGUCCCCCCUAGGAUUAAAUAAUAUCCCUAGGAUUUAGUGGUCCCUACAAGAUAAUAAUAGUAUUAAUCCAAAGAUAAAAAAUGAUUAAAGGGGUUGAUCUAAGAAUCAAAAAAUCGAAAGCACCAGAUCCUCUAUACUUUUGAUAGCAUAGUAGCUCUACUAUAUAUAUAUAUAUAUAUAUAUAUUCGAGCUUUUCGAGCUUUUCGAGCCUAAUUCGAACGAGCCGAGUAAUACUCAAGCUCGGCUUGAAAUGAAUUUCGAGCCUUUUUUUUGGUUCAAGCUCGGCUCAUUUAAUUUCGAGUCGAGCUCGAGCGAGCCAAAUAUCGAGUCGAACGCGAGUCGAACGCGAGCUGGCUCGCUCAUUUGCCUGCUGCUACAUGAAAUGUUACUAUAUUAUGCAAAUAACACUGUGUAGUCAGUAGUCUGAUGGUCAUAUAAUUUUUUAUAGAACACAGAGUCAUCGUAAUUAAUAUCUUUGAUCUGCAAAUCACAUUCAUCUUUCAGUCUCUUAAGAGCAAUACGUGCGGCAUCUUGUUCAGCCGCAGCUGAUGUAGGAAAUUCUGUGCUCAAACAUCGAACAGUUUCAACUAUAAUUUCACUCUGAGAAAUUUGCAAAUCUAUAUAGCCCACAAACCUCCCCUCGGUGUCCACGCUUAGUACACAUCGUGGCACUUGUAACUGGAGCUGCUCAUAAACGAACUGCAAAAGGAGGAAGCAGAGAAAUUUGUUGUCCAAAUGGUUACACAGCCAGGAAGUAAGAAAGAGAAAAAUACAAACCUUUUUUUUCAAGAAACAAAUAGCUAGUGUAUAGAUAAAACAGCCUGGAACCAUUUAAUAAUUUGCAAAACUAAUUUAAAACUUUGAGCAGGCAAAAUUGAUAUGCAGUAACAAAUAUCAAGUAUCAAUAUGUAAGGAAAAUAGGACCCGAAAUCAAGAAGUGAAAAAAACACACCAAGUCCAUUCCGAAAAGAAAAAGAAGGAAAAAAAAUGAAAUAUAACAGAAACUGUAAGCUGAGGGAAAAAAGAGGAAGUUCUACAAACCUAAAACACCGGGUCUAUGCAACUGUGUAGACCGUCCCCUCGCCCUCUCCCUCUCUCCCUCCUCUUCGAAUCCCCCGCCCUCUCAACGGAUUCUUCGAGGCUCUUCAUCUCUCUCUCUCUCUCUCUCUCUCUCUCUCUGUCCUUAGCUUUUGUUUAAAUAGAGAAGAAUACAAAUGUUUUUUAAUCUACAGUUGGCAAAUUAGGGGGUUGUAAAGACUGAAGGUGGUCCUUACCUUCUGUUUAAUGCGGAGCCAACAGGAGCUAAAGGGGAAAAAGGUGUUCCUAAGAUAGAGGCAUUUAAUUUAGUCAGUAUAGCAACGAUUUGCAAGCACAGCAUUUUCUGGCAGAGAACAGUCAAGAAAUUAUAGCAGACAUCAAGCUAAUAAAGGUAUUAAGGUAAUAUGCAGGAACAGGCAUUAUUGAACAGCCUACCAACCUACCUUGUCUUAUGGGCAGAGAAAGGUACUGUGCUGCACGCAUAGGGCAACUAUUUAUAGAGGGAACCUAAUAUUGAAGAAGAGUAUGCAGAAGAAGAGCAAAGAAUAACCAAUGUAAAAUAAAACGAAUAAUUUUUGUACGCCUUUUUUUUGUGGCCCCUGGUUUGGACAAAGAGCCACACUCACAGAGCACAAAACCUAAUAUUACAAAAAUAUAUUUUUUUCCUUUUACCCUUUUUUUCUGCCCACUGGUUUGGAGAAAGAGCCAAGGAUGGCUUCAAACAGGGGCCAAAUAGGCCUGGCAGCAAGUAGAGUAGGGGCCAAGUAGGGGGCGGCAAGGCACCAGCGAUCAGAACCACCCUUAAGUUGCGGACUCGGCUGCAAGGCAUCGGAGCCACACUCACAGAGCACCAGAAGAGGCAAAAGGGAUGGCUCGACUACAACCUGGGAGAGAGAGGAUCGCGCGGUGGGUGACAGGUGGAGGCGAGGGAGGGGAGCGUCGGAUCGAAGAGAGGUUAAGAGAGAGAGAGAGAGAGAGAGAGGAAGAGAGAGAGAAUGCCAGGGAUGGAAGAGAGAGAGAGGAGCGGCAACUUGAGGAGAGGGGGAGCGAGAGAGAGCGGGGCUCAGCCAGGAGCAGAGGCGAAGAGAGAGAGAGGCUCGGGUAGAGAGAGAGAGAGAGAGAGAGAGGGGCGGAAUGAGCGAGAAGCGCACUGCCACAGGGGGCAAAAAAAGAAGAGAGAGUGUGCCAGAGACUGCUGUAGAGGUGGGAGGAGAAAUGCUUCGCAGCCACAUGGAAUGGAGAAUAGAAAGACAUGCCACAUGGGAUUUGUAGGAAGUGUCAAAUAGUAUAGUUAAAAGAUCCUUCUGAGGAUAAUUUUAAUGAAGUAAUAGCAUGAAGGUUAGUAUUCUACACUCAAAAACUUCCACAUACAACUUUCAAAUCAGCCGACAACAGACAAUAAGUCAAAAUGCCUUAAAACAUGCGACGAAAUCAAAUCUAUUGUACAAGGCAUUAGUGAUCGAAGAAAGAAAAACUGGUGAUCUCAACCAGAUUAGGCGUUUGAUAGGUUCUCACUUGAAAGGAGCGAUAAUUCGCCUUCGUCGUUUGGGAGUUUCUCUCGUCACAUACAUCUUCUCCAUAUCGUUCAGCGGGCGACUCGAUCCAUCGGGCAAGCUCACAAACUUCCAGCCGCCACUGCCCCCGCGCUUCCCUCCGGGGCCCAGCUUCUCGACUGUAAAGCUCCAUCCGUCAUCCGGUCGCCUCCUGCUGUACUUGUGGCAUUUCACCUCUCCAGCAACCUGGCAAAGAUAAUUAGUAUUUGACGGAUUGAUGAUGCUAAGAUUUCAGCUUCUUUUGCGUACUCAAAAGUCAAAAGGCUGCGUUAAAUUUGUAUUCCAAAUAAUCUACAAGCAAUAAAAGAACGACCCUAUAUAUGCUAUUCUUUCUGCAAUGGAUAAGACCAUUUGGAUCAGUAAAAGAUAACAGGGAUGGCGUUUGGAGAAUUCAUUGAUCAUGAUGCAUUCAAAGUUCUCUUUUAGUGGAAAGAAGUCGAGACCCCCUUAAACCAAGAGACAUGACCCAGCAUAUUAAAAUUUGGACAACUUCUUUUCAGAUUUUUGUUGAGACUACAGUAAAAAUUUCUUACACUUUCUCCUUGACUAAUAGUAAGUCAGCCAUCAAAACAGUAAAAACUGAACUAACCAAAAUCAGUUGUUUGCAUAUUAGCAACUCUUAGUAUCUCUCCUACAUAAAGAUGCUAAAACUAGAUUAAACUCGGAUACUAUUUAUACAAAAUUAAAAAUUUAACCUUUAUUUACAUAAUAUAUUCCAUGGCAGGUAAGUACUAGAAGAAAUGUAUAUUAUCACUAAAUUCGAACAAAAAAAAGCAUAUUUUUANACCAAAAUCAGUUGUUUGCAUAUUAGCAACUCUUAGUAUCUCUCCUACAUAAAGAUGCUAAAACUAGAUUAAACUCGGAUACUAUUUAUACAAAAUUAAAAAUUUAACCUUUAUUUACAUAAUAUAUUCCAUGGCAGGUAAGUACUAGAAGAAAUGUAUAUUAUCACUAAAUUCGAACAAAAAAAAGCAUAUUUUUAUACCAAACUUGUUUACUCAACUUAAAAAGUAUUUGGAGACAGCCCCAAAUUGACCAAUUUCUCAAGCAAGUGGUUAAUUGAAAGAAUAGAGCUUGUAACCAUGUGAUAACAAGCUGAAGAUUUUCCCACUUGCACUAAGCAAUGGAUUCUCUACUCAACCCGAAGUAGUUUGGGAAAUAGCAUGGGAAAAUCAAAGUACUUACUUUCUUCUUGUUGAAGUUCAAGCGCUGAACAAAUUCUUCAUACAGCAUCUGGUCUUCCUUCAUAGAGAUCUCAUAGAGAACCUCAUCAGGAUCUCUUGUGGUGCCAUCCCAACCCUCUGGCAUGACCUUGAAGUCGGGCUUGUAUGGAAGAGAUGCCACAUGGAAUUCCCUAUCAUGCGAGUUGAAGAAUCUGCAAGAUAAAAACAGGAGGCUCUGUAAGGAGCACGUUCUUUAUGUUCACUUGAUAUGCUAAGCGAAAUUUGUAAUUCUAGGUUACACAUAACUUUGAUAGUUGUUGUUCCCAGAGGAAACACAGAUCUCCUAAUUCACAAGCAGAACAAAUUUCACCUAAAAGGAAGGAGAAUCAUAUAGUUCCUUCUUAUGCCGUUUAUUUGCUGCUACGGAGAAGGUAACACUUAAAACCUCUUCGCAGGUUUCUAUUUAUAGGUUGUUAUCAAUAUCCAAGGCUUAAGAAACAUGCUGUGGUUUCUGGUGUCUCAAACUUGAACCUAACUAGGGCCUAGUAAAGAGCAUGAAUUACCAUACUUGACAAGUAUCGUGAGAUUCAAUGUGAUAAAUCAAAAGGGAGAGAGAUUAAGGCUGCCGACCAGAGAUAUUUAGGAUACAACGCCUAUGUAGAUAGAUAAACUUCUGUAGCUGUUCUAUACACAAUCUCAUAUGUAUAGAGAUACUUCUGUAAUGCAAAACCUAUGAGACAGGUUCAAUGGAGCACCGUUACCACUGUUUCAAGACCACCAUCUAAAAUUGCUACCUGCACAAAGCAACAUUUUCUAUUGCAAUUAGGAAUUCUGAAAUCUGAAGUAUUCCACCAGUGUUGUGAGUUGCAAACAUUAUCUUCCAUCUAGCAAGCAACCUCUUUCCGCACUUUCACAUAUUGAACAAUCUUCAGUUCUUCGCAUACCAAAGUAAUCUUUGCUACAUACUACAUAUCAUACAACAUCCAAACAAUCAAGUAAGAUUGAAGCCUGAGACUACCAUAUCAAUAUUGAAAUAUUAGCUCUAUUACUGAUGAAAUUCGAUUGGCACAUGAUUGAGAAGCACUAGUAACUUCCCAGUUGACCAGGAAUCAGAAUAGAAUGUCUAAGGGGUUGUUAGCACUAAGAGACAAGUCAUUAAAUCUUUCUUUCAUCGAACAUCCUCACCAUCAGGUUGUGUAUGCUAGUCACAGCAAAUUGUGCAGACUAGUCACGCGGUAGUGACAUCACUAGCAACUUACUCUUGUGAGUUAACUUAAGCAAGUCGAAUGAGUCCAACUUGUAACUUAUAGUUCGAAACAUCAGCCAUACCAUUUUUAUGAAUUUAUGAUUUUGAAAAAUGUAAUCCACAAUAAAUGCAUGAUUCAGGUUUCACAAGGUUCCGCCUGAAAGAUAAUCGAGUAGAAAUAUAAGCAUUGUGAAAUAUCUGUUCUAAUAAAAUGAAUUCAGUACCAGAGAGUCAGAAAAGAAUCCAAAAGCUAACUUGCUACAAAUAUAUCAAAGAUGAAAAAAAUAUCCCUUUUGAAGUUAAAAAUGAAUGACAGAAACAAGAUUGUGACUAUUUAUAAGAACUACUACAAAAUCAGAUAGCCCAAUGUUCACCAGCUUCCAACAAGAAAUAGAAGUUGAAUGCUUCUCAAAAACACCAAAUAUUAAGAGCAUAAUGAAAUGAAAAAUGGAAAUCUCUAAUAGAAUUUAAGAUAAAAUAAAGGAAAAUAUAAAAAUAAACAUGAAAUACAUUUCUUUGUAAAACAAAAACUCAGUUUAACCAAAUUCUUAUAAAACUUUUAAAUGUCACAGAUCUAUUAUUUUUAUUUUAGUUCUAUAAUGCUCCCUCAUGGUUAUCAAUAAGUGUAGUUAGUUAUGAUGAAGCUUUAAUACUGAAAAAUAAAUUAUGAAACCUUCAAGAGGACUCUAGAUGAAUAGAUGUAUGGUUAACACUAAAAUCUUGCAGACCUCUGUACUCUUAUGUUACAAGGCUAAGAAUGUGGCACAUAUCUAGGACCUGAAAACCCAGUAUUGAAUCAGAAUAGUUCCACUAAAUUUCCACAAAUCAAUCAAUCUCACUAUUUCAUUUCUCACUGAACUUGUUUCAUUGCAUCUGGAUGGGAUGCUUAUCGCUAGAAUUAUAACUCAUUUCCUUUUUUUUUUUCAUUUUCAAUCAAUUCAUCGAUCAUUCAUGAAAAUGACUUGUCUUCGACCAGCAUUUUUUUUCACAUUCAUAACCAUUUCAUAGUUGAACUGAAAUGUGAAUCCAAAUCAUUCAAUAAUCAAUCAGUCAUUCCAACAUGACAACUUUAUCAACUAAAAAGGAACAGCGGCAUCAAGAACAACACUUACUCAGGGAAGUUAUCGAGGAGGAUCUCGACGGAGUCAUCGAGGGGCCUGCCGAGCUUCUUCUCCUCCUUCUCCAUCUCCUUGAGCUAGAGGAUGGCGUGGACGCGCUGCCGCAUCACGCGGAAGUCCUUGGCGAGCCGCUCCACCGAGUACACCUCCGGGUUCUCCUUGUGGAGCCGGUACAUCUCCACCUUCUCCGAGUCCUUCAAGUAGGCCCCCCGUGCCCCGGGCUCUCUCACCUACUUCAGGAGCUGGUACGUCUCCAUCGUCCGAUCCCCCCACCCGUCCACGAAAGCCUUGCUCUCCUUGUUGUCCUUCUCCAGCAUCCGUAGGAUCUCCUCCUCCUCGUCCAUGGCCCGCGCCUCCGUCAUCUCCGCCGAGGUUGUCGGCGGCGGCGGCGGGGCGCUCCCGGGGGCGACUUGGCGGCCUACGGCGGCGCCGUUGAAGUGGUCCUUGGUGAGCCCCAUGGACCAAGAAGAGGCCUCGCCCCAGUCGAACCCGGGGAGCACCUCACCUCCGGAUCGGAGCUCAUCGGAUCCACCCCAGUCGCCGUCCUUGUCCCCCUCCUUGCCGCCGCUGGAGGAGGAGAAGGUGCGGAGAAGGGAGGAAACCGUAGGAUUCGGAUUGAGGGAGGAGAUUAGGUUUUGGGGAAGAGGGGGAAGGAGGCAGCGGAGGAGAAAGGCUCGUAUGGCAAUCAUUUUUUUUUUUUCUGCUUCUUCUACUUCUUUCUCAGUCGGGGGGUUUAAGAGGGGUUGAAUUGGAAGACUGUAGAAGGCAAGUCCAAGAAUAUCAACAGAGAAUAAAAAAGAAGGACAAAGUGAGGCUCUUUGAGUUGGCUAUGCUUAAUUUUCUUAUUUUUUAAAAGAGAUUUGAUAAAUUUUUAUUUUUAUUUUAUUUUUUGUAUUUUUACUAUUUAAAGUAAGAUCAGUAUCUCUGAUCUUCAAUUACAAUUGCUACUGCUUUACUAUCUUAGCCUAAAAAGAAAAUAGCUAAAGUAAUUGAGAAAUAAUCAACAACUAGGCAUGUCACAAACUAAAACUGCACAAAGAUAUCACCUUUAAAUUGAAAUAUGAAUAUGAAUAAAAACAACAUCUUUAAUCCCUAACUCAGGAGCCAAAAUAACAUUGUGAUAUACUAAUGAAAACACCAAAAAAUAAUAGCUUUUUAACUGUAAUACUCUCGACUAGAAACAUAUUGCAAAACCCAAAAAUAUUUCUUAAAGGAACAGUACAGGAACAAUUUGAUGGGGGUUUAAAGCGAUUUGGAUACCGAAAACGAAAUGCAACCGAAGGUAACAGAGAAUUAAGCAAAACUUAGACAUAGUUUGAUCCAUUACGUCUAUUAAAUAAGAAAAAAUUAGGGUUUUCAGUGAUUUAUACCUUGGAAAAGAAAAAUGGAGGAGAGUGGAGACGAAGAGGAGAACUCAAAACCCUAAAACCGCCCCAUAUUAGGGGAAAGGAGAUAAGAAUGGGGUAAAAUAUUUUGGAACCCCCUCAACAACGGAUUGUUUUCAAAUACAACCCGCUACUCAAUUUUUACUUUUUUAGUAAGUAAAAACUUGUGAAUAACUUAUCUAAACUAUUAAUCAUUUAGAAUUAACUAUUCAACUAUUUAAAAUUUUAGUUUACUAUCUAAUUUUUUAAUUUAUUUAAUUUAAAACAGUUGAUAAUAUUUUAACUUCAAAAUUUAAUAUAAUUAUUUACUCUAAUAAAUUUACAGCUGCGCAUCAGCGUAUCAUUGACUGACACAAAUCAAAAAAAUUAAAAGAUUAGAUAAUAAAAUUAAAUUUUUGAAAGAAUGUAUAGUCGAAUCAAAAUGAUCAAAAGUUUAGAUACAUUAUGUACGUAUUCAUCGUUUUAAUAUCAUCUUAUUUUAAAAUUAUUUUUAUUCAUUAAUAGUUAAUAAAACUAGUAGUUUCCAAUUAAAUAAAUCUUCUAAUUAAAUUAAUAAAAAAUAUUUAGAUUAAAGAUUUUAAAUGUUUGAAAUAUAUUAAUUUAAAACAAGAUGGGGGUAUCUCAAUUUAUUGUUAACUACGAAGUGAUAUAUCACGCUCUUAAUGCUGCAACUCUCUAUUCGGCGCAUUUAACUGAGUACGGUCCUUAUUUUUAGCUUUUUAAUCUCACCUUAAUUUUUAAUUAUUUUCAUUUAAUUUAUUUUUUUUUAAAAAAAUUGAACUUUGCAAGAUAUUAGUCAUUAUUGAGACUUAGUUUAGUAUUGAGACAAAUCUAACGCUAUUAGAUAAAAUAGAGUUGGGGUAAAAAUAUAUAGGAAUAUGUUUCUGCGUUCUUCGGUAGAAAUGUAGAAAAUAUAUCGUAACCGACUGAUCGCAAUAUACGAAAUGCUAUAUUACGUAUAGAAACAAACAUGAUAUUUUUUCAACGUAUUUUCUCACUGCAUGUAAUGCAAUCAACUCGCAAUCUCAAACGAAGCCUAAGUUAAUAAAAUUAAUAGUUUCCAAUUUAAUAAAUCUUCUAAUGAAAUUAAAAAUAUAUUUAGAUUAAAAAUAUUUAAAAUUUAAAAUAUAUUAAUUUUUAAAAAAUGAACUUCUUAAUUUUUCUUUUUUUACUUAUAAAGAAAUGAUAUAUCACGCUCUUAAAGCUGCAACUCUCUUUUCGGCACAUUUAACUGAGGUGUCAAUGCUUCUUAUAACAACUUAUAUUUAUUAAAUUAAAAUAAAAAAAUUAUUUAGUAAUAAAUAAUAAUGUAGCAAAUUAAAUAUAGUGUUUGGUCUCUCAGAUCUCAACUGUUGAUCUGAACAGCAGAAACAAAAUGGUUCCGAUGAUGAUCGGACGGUCGUGAGAGAUUAACAGUAAAUGAUUUAAAUUGCAGCUACUCCUAAAUUAAGUUACGAAUUAAAAUCAUUUAUGACUUAAUAAUAAUGGAAGGUACGAUGUCAUUGUAACUCGAACUUGCCCCAAAAUUUUUUUUAUAAUAAUAAUAAUAUUAUUAUUAUAGAUCUAGUAGUUGCCUACAUGGCUAUAUUGGAUUGUAGUUAGUGACAUUUAAACCAUAGUUAGUUAAUUCGGAUUCGGCAAAAAUUCGGUACGGAUAUAAUUCGGAUAAAAUUCGCCUUUUAAUUUUUAAAUUCGUUGAAAAAAAAGGCUAAAAAACAUAUUCGCCAAUUAUUCGGAUACGUGAUUUAUACGGAUAUUAUACGCUCACCAAUUAAAAAUUCGGGAUAAAAAAUUCGGCUAUUAAAUUAAGUUUUUUUUUUUUCGCAAGAUUUAUGCUAUUAGCAUAAAUACUCAUAUUUUUUAAGAAUAUAAUAAUAAAGAGCUACAAAAUUAAACUAAUUAAGUAAAAAAAAUAGUAAACUAUAUUAUGCCAAAAUAAAUAAAUAAUUAAGCAAAUAAGAGAUCAAGAUAGUCCAUAUUUAAAUAUAAAAUAUAAAAGGUUCACAUACAAGCAUAGUUAGAAACUAAAUACAAGAUGACCUAACUCUAAGUAAUAAAUCAUGUUGUUACCCGUCAAUCAUGCAUCAAACAUAACCUAACUCUAAGUAAUAAAUCCCACUUCAUUGGUUCUGAGUCUUCACUCUUCAUACAACAAUAAGCAAAUUAAUGAAUGUAACAACAAGUAACAACAACGUAACUAGGUUCUAGAACUAAUAUGGAAAUCCGGAGUUUAGAGAAAGAGAAGGAUUCUAAAGUUAGACAUCUUCAAACUCUUAUUCUCCAGAUCUUCUCAUUUUAUAGUGAAAAAUUACUUCAUUUCUAAUACUAAAAAGUUAUGUUUCAAAAAUUAAGUAGAAACCCCACUGAGUCAAUGGUCCAUGAAAGACCACAACAAAAUCUUCCUUUUGCAAGUGUCGACAAGAUCAUGAAAUUGAUUAGGCAUAAUACAAGAGUUCCUGGUCCCUAAGUUAAUAAAGAUUAUUUAGCUCUAUGUUUGGGUCUUCUAUGUGUCAUGGCCACACCAUGACAGGUUAGGAAGAGGAGUAAUUUGGGCGCUAGGGCGAAGCUGGAAGAGGGUAUCCGACAAGAUGAUACCGAGGAUCUAAUGUGAGACAAAGGCGGCGGAAGUGCUUACUUCACAGAGGGUUGGGUUAACGGUUAGCGGGCUCGUGGUUGCUGUGGAAGGCGACCGAUCCGAUAAGUGAAGGAGGAGGACUGAGGCAUAUAACGGCCCAUCAAGCGGAAGCCCGAUAACAAUGGACGGUCCCGCCCAGGAGUUGGGCCAUCUGUUACUCUAUUUUACAAUUGCACAUUUAUUUCCCCACUUUUGUAAUUCUUUCAUAUUGGUCCUUCUAUUGUAGUAGUAUAAGUAUCAGCUCGUCCCUGUAAGCGCGCCUUGUUUGGUUAGGGGAUAGGGAUAGGGAUAGGCCCUUAUCCCCCCUUUGAUACCCAAACGCUAAUUUUUUACCCGAGAAUAGUAGUUCUCGGUUAUCCCCACCAAUACCUCCAUUUUCUAUAUAAAACUACUUAAAAUUGUUCUUAUUCCCGGGAACAACCCAAUUUUCAUCCAAACGCUAUUUUUCUUAUCCCCAUACUUGUACCUAUCCCUGUAAUAGCUAGUUCUUGCUUCUACCCGAACCAAACUGUACGGUUCUAUUCGAAAAGAAUUACAAUAAUUCCCAAUUUCCCCUAACCUCAUCUCUCUCAAUUCCCCUCUUCUUCUCCCUCUGUAUCUGCUCCUCUCUAUCCCUCUCCUCUCGAUCUCCCUCCUAUCGUCUCUCUCACUACUCCGGCUUCAUCCUAUCUCAUUACCAGGAUCUCGGUGCUGAGCAGAGAUUGAAUUGGCGCGAGGCCUUAUCAUCAUUUCCCAAUCCAGCUCUUCCUCAGCUGUAAUUACUUCAUCGGAAGGGGAACAGGAUCAGGUAAUCUCCAAAUUCCUCAUCCCUAAUAGCCAUCCAAUCGAUUAGAGGUUGCUAGUAGGUCGGAACAUAACACUAUGUUUGGGCAUAACAGAGAAUGGACACACAUUCAAUUUAAGCACUCGAGCCAUUUGUGUAUAAAAACAGUAUCCAUCAGAUGGACUAAAAGCUUCCAACUUUUGCUUUGAAGAAUGAAAACUCAAAUCGUACCUGGUUUGUAAAGAACCACCCGAUUACCGAUCUAUCGUUGGAUAGUGGAAGCGGAGGCGGAGGCGGAAGCGGAAGAGGCAGAGGCGACGAGGAGGGUUUCGAUUUCUGAGGAGUGAAGAACCCGAUCUUCGAUCUUCGAUUUCUGAAGAAGAGGGCUUCCGAUGGCGUUCGGCGAGCGACCGGAAGGGAAGAGGGAGACCGCCGCAGGGGUCGGUGGCAGGGCCGCACCGCCGCAGGGAUGAGAAGUUAGGGCAAACCCCUUUUUUUGGGAGGGGUGGAGGUGGAGGUGGAGGUGGGGCGAUCUGCCGAUCUUUCAGGAAAGGUGGGGGGCGCGAGCGCCGUUCUUUUGGGAGCGAACCGCAUAUAAUUCGCAAACAAUUACUUUUACCCAAAAAAAUACAUUUUUUUUAAUUUUUAGAAAAAAUAUGAAAAUCGCUAUUUAAUUCGGUUUUUAAAAAUUUCGUAGAUAUUUCACAAAGAAUUCGCGAAUUAACUCACUAUGAUUUAAACAAUGACUAUGAGAUUAAUUAGCCAAUAAUGAGUAUAUUCUGAGUAAUUUAUUCAGAUACUUUAUCAAAUAAACUUUGCUUAUUGAUCACUAUGAUGGUAGUUGCCGUGUUUAGACUGAGUACAUGGUUUUAGCAUAUUUUGAAUUGGAGAUGAUGACAACAAUGAUAGUGAUGUUUUUGUCAUACAUUUCAAAUUUCUCAUAUAUAUAUAUAUAGAGAGAGAGAAAGAAUUCAGCUGAGAUACUAUCGAUAGCACUAAACGCUUGAUGCUAUCGAAUUUUCUGCCGUUAGAUUUAUUCCUUUCAUCAUUUCUAACUGUUAGACCAUACUAUUCAACCAACCACCCACUCAACCCUAGGAGACCACUAUCAACUUAACCAAGGACCACUAUGAUCUUAACCGCACAUUUUUUUUUAAAACAAAAUCUUAUAUAAGGUGCUUGAUCUCUUAUUAUAUACAAGAGAGCCCAAUGACUAGACAAUAAAUGGGCCUAAAACUUUUGUCAAAUCACAAAUGCAUGAUGCAAAAGCCCAUGGGAUGACUCGCCCCGUUGGGCUGGUAUGCUCUUAUAAGUUAUAAGUCGUUUUUUUAUGGUGAAAUUUUUGUAUCGAUGAUUAACAUUAUUAGACUUAAUUUAAUGUAUUUGAAGUGUCUAGAGAAUAACUUUUACGGUUUUUCAAUAUUAUUUACCUAAUGAUCGAAAUGACUGAAAAAAAAUACUCGCAAAGCAUUUAACUGAAUAGAUUUUAAGUUAAAACGGGGGUUCGAGUCACCACUUCUCUGAAUUAUAUAUAGUAUCAAUUCAGAAAGAGUUAUUGUUAGGGGGGAUCCAUGACCUAUUUAUACAACACCUGCACAUGUAUCCCCAUUAUCACUAGUAGUGAUCAUAUAUGUUUUUUUUUAAGAGGAAGGUAGUAUGCUACCCGCGUCGUUUAUUUCAUUUAGAAAUAAAUUUAGCUGUAAAUGUGAAUCAACUAGGAUUUGAACUUAGGUCUCGGGUACCAACCAUCAAGUUCUUUGCCACUUGCUCUAGGGAUAGUCGGUUAGUGAUCAUAUAUGUUUCUAAUAAUAUUUAAGCACUUCUCUCACAACAGUUUUUGCAUUUAUUCUCACAAAGAAAAAAAAAAAAGUUAAUGUGGAACAAAAAUAUUGAGUCAAAUAAAGCCUACAUGAUCUCUAUCUAUAUGUAUUAAUCUAUUUCAUGUACAUUCUACUACAGAAUUGUUGUGAGAUAUCUAAAAAUAUUCCUAGCCUUUGUGUAUCCAGAACCUAUCAACACACUUUUUUUCACACAACAAAUAAUAUGAAAAUACCAAAACAAAUUACAGAGGCUCGGGAAAGCGAGGGAAAGGAGCUAUAGUAGGUUUUCCCUAUCUGGAAAGGAUUCGCGGAUUUGAAAUACUCGAUCUCAAGAAAGAGCCCAUCUGAUUCCAGAAAGAAGACUUCAAACCUAGAAAACGAACCUGAACUGAUUUCCUCGAUCCUUCUUUCGCGUAUUCUACUUCUCUAGACACACCGUACUGAAUGUACUCCGGUUCUUCAAGAAAUGGUAGUGGAACCGAACCUUGAGACUCGAGGUUCUUUAUCCACCAAUGCAACAAGAAGUUAACAACCUGCAGUGUACAAUAAAUCAGACUCGAAUUAUUUAAUUUUAGUAGUUAAUCGAACAAUACGAUUAUUCAGAAUAUCAAAGUUAACAACGCUAGUCUAUUCAGUUAUUUAUCACAAAAUCAAAUAUUGGUAGGAGCCAUAAAAUUGAAAUUUGGAAGUGCUACAUACCUCGGGAACCUCAUCAUGUGGGCAGUGACCGGCGGGGCUUAUCUCAUAGUAAGUGUCAUGACCUGACACCGCCAAUUUGGACAGCUCAGGCCCACAACAGACUCGGCGAACGGACAGAGUUUCCUCUGCCCGCCCAAGGCGUAAACAAAGUCCAUGCAUACAUAUCCAAGCAAGAGAUAUUAGCAUCAAACAUUUGGGAGAGGUAUACCACAGAUGCAAGAGAAUUAAACUAUCUAUUACAACACUUUCACAUAUGAAAGAUUUACACUCAUUAACUUAUUAUAUUUUUUCUCCUUUACAUACAAAAUGAUAACCUCACCAAUAUGUACAUCACAUUUCUUUCACAAAAGCUUUUACAUUUCUUUUCUCUUGCUACACACGGGGGUAAUGAUCUAGUCCCGGUGGUCCACACUAUCUAGGGCUCGAUGCCCACGCCGCGAUCCUCGACGAAUGCGUUCGCGCUUAGCUCUGCAAAUUAGGGUGUGAGAACUAAACAAAGUUUCUAGUGGAUUCGGCCACCGACCUUGUCGAUUUUCCCACUAGGUCUAAGAAAGGCAUGGAAAUAAUAAAGAGGGUAAUAUGACAAAGAAGUAAUGAAUAGAACAAUAAGCCUAACAUGCUCAUAUACAUCUAUCAUGCUUCAAAUGUGUAGAUAUGCCUUUGCCAAACAUGUCAAUAAGUAUGAGUUCCACUAUGUCUAUAACAAUGUCAUUUAGAACUUUCCUUCCAUCUAUAAAACUUUUUAAUUGCAAUUUAGUCUUUCUUGUAAUUCGAAUUUUUUUUAACUACGUAAUGUUUAAUUGACAUUUGUUUUGUGAUAGAAAUUAGUUUUAACAUUUAUUUGUACCCAUAACACUUUUGAUAAAGUAAUAGGCUUUUAUAGUCAGAUUAUUUGAUUUUUUUGAAAUGUUGGGUUUUUAAUUUUCAUUAUCUAUGCAUUAUUUUUUGAAAUUUUUAUAGUGAUUAAUUGAAUAUAUGAUUUUAAUGAUGAUUUAAUGUUUUUUAUAUUUAGUGGCUAUUUAUCUUAUUUUUGUUGGCAUUUGUGAUUAAUGUUAGAUAUUUUAUAGGCAAAUGUAUUUUGCUUUUAGUGGCCUUUUUAAUUGCCGGUAUAGAGUAAUCUUUAGUGGCAAUUAUUUUGCUCUUUACCGGCCGCCAAUAAAAUUGCCGCUAAACUUUUAUCGACCACAUUUAUAGUGACAAUUAUUAUAAUUGUCGUUAAAGAGAGUAGCGGCGAUUAUAAUCGUCGCUAAUCUAUGAGAUAAUUGCCGCUAAAAGGUAAUUUUGUUGUAGUCAGGCGGUUUACCAAACAAACGUUCAUAAGGAGAUUGAUUAGUUGUAGUCAGGCGGUUUACCAAACAAACGUUCAUAAGGAGAUUGAUUAGUUAUAACGUUAGAGGGAACUCUAUUAAUGGUAUAAAUUCCAGUAAGAGCAGCUUCCCCCCAAAAUUAUUCGGGAAUAGAUGCAGCGAUGAGAAGAGUACGAACAGUGUCCAAAAUGUGUCGGUGCUUACGUUCGGCACAAACAUUUUGUUGAGAGGUGCCGGGACAAGAGGUAUGAGAAAUUGUUCCAUCUUGCUUAAGAAUUGAUAAAAAAAAACUCUUCUUGUUUAUAUUCUGAAGCAUUAUCAGAUUGGAAAACUUUUAUAGUGCGAGAAAAUUAGAUUUUCAUCAUAGUAGAAAAUUCUCGAUAAAUGCCUAACAUUUCAGAUUUCUGACACAUCAAAUAGAUCCAAGUGUAUCGUGAAAAAUCAUCAACAAAUAUUCCAAAGUAUCUUGAUCCACCUAUUGAAGUAAUAGGAGAUGGACCCCAAACAUCAGAAUGCACAAGAUCAAAAGGUGCAAGAGCAAAAGAUUUACUAUUACUAAAUGGCAAUGCUAAUUGUUUUCCAAGUUGACAAGAAAUACAAUUAAAAUCGAAUAACUCAACUGAACCAAGUUUACCGCUAGAAGCUAAGCCUUUGACUCUGGAUUUGGAGAUAUGACCAAGACGUGAAUGUCAAAGUCUAAGAGAAUUAGAAGAUAACCUAGAAUUCGUAACAACGGCAGAUGAAGAUUGAGAAGGUGCAGUGAAUCUAGCUCAAACAUACGACCAACUUUAUGCCCGGUCCCAGCGAUCCGUUUGGUCAGUGAAUCUUGCACAACAACACGAGUACGAGAAAAACAAAUAUCAAAGCCAAGAUCACAUAAUUGCCCUACUAAGAGAAGAUUCAUUGAUAGUUUAGGGAUCAAAUAUGCAUCAGAUAUUGAUGAGUCUUGAGUAUUAAUGGAUCCCAAUAUGGCUAAUACGCAUAAGUGAUCCAUCGGCAGUUCGAAUAGGAGAAAUGUUGGAAGCAACAUUUUUCAAAGAAAAAUUGGAACGAUUGGGUGUCAUAUGAUUGCAACAAGCUGAGUCAAAAAACCAAGAAGAAUUACUUGAUGCGGCAGAAAGAGCAGAAGAUUGUGAGUUUGUGUGGGACAACACAUGAUUUAUUAUUGCCUCAAGAUCCUUUGCGGAAAUAGUAGGGGUGGUAGAAGUAGCUUCAACAUUUGAACUAGUGUUAACAGCAGCAGCAGGGGUGUUAACAGCAGCAGUAGGGCGGCAGAAAAAGUCAUUCUUGGUUCUUUCUUGGUCACGCCUUUUUCUUUCAAGUUUCCAACAAUUCUCAAUUGUAUGUCCUUUUUUUUUGCAAUAUUUACAGGAAUUAAUGGUUGUGGGAUUAGAAGCAGUGGCCAAGGCGAUAUUAGUAGGCACAAUUGUGGUUGAUAAUAUAUUAUCAAAAGAUACAUACAAAAUAUUCUUCCGAGUUUCUUCAGCAAUCAAUUCAGCUACAGCUUUGUCAAUACUUGGUAAAGGAUCACAAUGUAACAAACUUGUUCGAACAUGUUCAUAAUUAUCAUCCAAUGCUAUGAGAAAUUGAUAAAGAUGCAUAGCAUCGUGAUAUUCAUAGAAUUUCUUAGCAUCAUUAGAACAAUCCCACUGAGGUUCAGAUAAAGGCAAUUGAUCCCAAAUAUAUGACAUUUGUGAAUAAAAAUCAAAUAUAGAUUGACUUUUAUCUUGACGCAUGCGAUGUAAAGUAGUAAUACGUUGAUAACGAGAAGCACUACUAGUAGCAGAAUAUCUCUUGGCUAGAAGAUCCCAUACCUCUUUGGCGGUAUCAAAUUUACCAAAUUGCUGACGAAUUGAUUUGAUGGAUGUGUUAUCAAACCAAGAAAUCACUUUAUGAUUGUUAUUGUCCCAUUCUUCUAUUCUGAGCUUGUACGCACCAUCAACUUCAUUCGUCUCACAGACUGGUUCUGUGAUAUCUCCGAUGACAUAUCGCCUUAAUUUACGUCCUUUGAGAAAGUUUCGUAUGUCUUGAACCCAUAGAGUAUAGUUGGAUCCAUCGAGAAUAGUUUGGAUAGGUUGUGCGAUAUCUGCUUGAGCCAUAUAUGAGAUAAUUUGUAAAAAGAUGAGCAAAUUGAUAAGUCUAGAAUCUCAUCAAUGAACAAAUCCUCUCGGACUGCUGAAGUAUAUCUUCAGUGCGCAAGAAAAAAAAAAUCACUAUCUCCUCAAAAGAGUGGCUCUAAUACUAUGUUAGAAAUAUUCAAGAAGAAAAAGAAAUAGUGAAUUAAAAGAGCAGAAAAACUCUUUGUUUUUCUAUGUUCUCCAUUAACACUAAUAUAUACAUGAUUCUUACAUCCCAAAAUGACAACUUGGCCAAUCAUAGAAAUAAAAUAUUAUACAAUCAUAUACAUGGUAGAGUAGCACAAAUUAUGUUGUAGGAUUUUCCUCAAAUGGAAGGUUGUAGAAUCUUCUUCAUAUAGAAGGCAUAUAAUAUUCAGAUGGAAUGUCCAAUCCCAAUCAAGGAAUAAUAUUUCUUCAAUCAAGGAAUAAUAUUUCUUCAACAGCAUUCUUGUCACGCCACGAGGCCGAUCCUGUUUAGUCGGUUCGGGUACGUCGAACAGACGCCGAAUGGACAGCACCUCCGCUGUCCGCCCAAGGCUCAACAACAAGUACAAUCAAGUAGAAAAAUUUGCACAAGCGUAAACAUACAUAUAUGGCUUGCAUGAGGGCAAGCAAUAGCCAAAGUGAAAGUACUAACUAAACAACAUACAAGUUACAUUCUUUUCAUCAUUUCUUCUCUUGAUACAUCACAUGAUAUCCCAAAAUAUAACUUUUUGCAUUUAACAUACGUCUUUUACAUCAUUCAUAUUCUCCAAAAUAGGCCUUCGCAUUCUUUCAUUUAAACAUUUAUAAUCAUCAAGUACAAAAGAUGAUAUAUAAAGGGAUAUGCAACUACACAAAAUAUAACCAACGAGGGUGGUCACUGUCUAUGGCGUGAUACCUUUACCGCGAUCAUCGGCCGGCUCACUCGGUCCGGGCUCUAUGAAAAAAAUGGGGGUGAGAACUACAACAAAGUUCCCAGUGGGUUCGGCUGCCGACCUCGCCUACUUUCCUACUAGGUCUACAUCAGGCAUAAUAGAAGAAUAGAUAGAUAGUAGCUAACUAAACAAAUGCAGCUAAUAUGCCUGAAUAAUACAGUCAAUGCUAUGCUCAAAUAGACUGCUCAUGAUGAAUGCAAGAUCCACUUUCCAAUUUUCGGUCCUUUUGGCUAACCCGUAGGUUUCGCCUCAACGAACAGCUUACCAAUUCUGAUCCCUACUAUCGGACCCUCAGCUUCCUCCCGACGAGACCAAUAGACUCACUAAUCAAAUCCCUAAUAUCGGGCCCUAAGCUUCCUCCCAACGGGACCGUCCUCUGGGCAACACUAACCCAGUGAUGACACUCCGGAGCUCAUUGCUCGAAGGGGAGCUACCACCCUCUGAGCCAAGACUUAUAGGUGAGUAUGAUCAAUUCUUAACUUUAAGGAUACCAAGUUCAAUCCAAUCCUUCACUAUAAGAAUGCAAUGCUCAUAUGAUCCUUAACUUUAAGGUUGUUAUGUCAUAAUAUCAACUAUCUUACUUUAUUUGCAUUCUUUAAUUUUUAUUAGUGUCACAUGCAUUCAUUAAUGCCACACGCACUAAGUGUUCAACUCUAGCAUUCAAAACUCAUUGAUGCCACUCUAUGUGUUUACUAAUGCCACACAAUCCAUAUGUCAUAAUGUUAUUUUGUUCUUUAUCUCAUCUAAGUCUUUGUCACCAUUCAUGCAUACAUAGGGUUUCCACUUUAUUCAACAUUAACAUAUGUAUCUUUAUACUACAAGCAUGCAAAUAAUAUAUCUCGAUCAACCCUAUAAUGCAUAAUGAUCAUAUAUAGCCUAUGCUCAAGAAAUCACACAUUAGACAUAAAAGAAAAUUCAUCAAUUUCGGAAAGCACCACCCACCUCGUAUGGUUGAAAAGAUGCUACGGUUCAAAUCUCGUAAUUUUUGGGCACCUAUUCUCUCGCCUGCGGCAAAACGAAGCCAAAUUAGGCUUUUUCCCCAAUAUCAUUGCAUUGACUCGUCAAAUUGGCGAACCGAGUCCACCAACGAGUUAGAAAUAUCCCCAAUUUGGUUUCUAUAAGGUCAAUUUGCCUUUAAACCAACCUAGGGCAAAAGUUUUAAUUUUGGUGCCCUAAUAAUGCCAUAUAGCCAUAUACCUUGGUUUGAUCUUAGAGCUAAGCAAAAAUAAGCUUAGAACCAUCUAAGAAUCCCUCUAAAACCAUUUCUAGGUCAUUUAACCCAUUCCUAGGGCAUCUAAAGCAAACCCUAGAAAUUCACCAUAAGAGCUCAUGGAUAAACAUGAGUUUUUCAUGGAUUUCAUAGCCUCUACUAGGAUUCCCAUCUUGUAAGAAGAUCAAAUCCAAAAGAUUUAGAGUAUAAAACCAAACCCUAUCAUCUAUUUUGCAUGAAACCUCACCUUAGCCCACUAGCUCUCCAAACUCCACGUUGUAGGAGGGUCCAAAGCCUUCAAAAGCUCCAAAAUCUCCUCUUGAUCUCCUCCAAUCCCCUCCUUUAGCCUUAGGGGAGAGCUCUUAGAGAGAGAGAGAGAAAAUGAGUUGGAGAGGGUGUGGUUGGCUGUGAACAACAGAGGAGGGGUGUGGUCUUUUAUAGACUGCUACAUUUGCAUUUAGGUCCUCUCUCUUUUCAUAUUUGCAGCAGACCAAAGUCUGCUGCGAAGGGCACUGCGUACCAGUACGCGAGGUAGUGUCAUCGGUUUAACGGUUACGCAGCAGCCAAACCCGAGAGCUGCUUCCUCGGGUAACAGAGCUGGUACAGCCUUUUUCACUCAAACCCGAGAGUUGUUGUUCUCGAGUGCCUGCCUGGUACUGGUACCACUUUAAUGUAUUACCAGUUAACAAUACUCCAGACUGCAAUUUGCAUUGUUUCGACUCCAUUUCGCGCCGAGCAAUGCUAAAACCUUUCUAACUCUCUUGAAACUCAACUUUAACCCUUCCAAUAUUAUUAAAAUGUUAAAUGGACCUUGUCCAACUAUUCCUCUCUCACACUUUAGUCAAUUCGACUUAAGUUCGAUAUUCUCUACCGAGUUUCAAUAUAUUACAAUCCUCGCCCGGCAAAAGAAAGCGCUGCGUAAUCACUCCAUCCUAUAAGUCAAAGUAUUAUACAACAACUAUAAGUAUUGGGAGACUACUUAAAAGCUCAAGAGCAUGAUGUGGGAGCUUUUUUUUUUUUGAAAUCCUCUUGAGGUAUGAAAUUCUAAGUUUCAUGGAAGAAACUUUCUUUUAAGAUUCUAGUGAAAAAUAGUAAUUGAUACCAUUUUGAUGGUUUGGAUGGUGUUUGGAAAGUGUUAGAUUGUUUUCGGUGUGAAAAUAGCUCGAAGACAUACUUCAAAAGGCAAAAUUUGCAAAGCUGCAAAUUUGUUGUUAGUAUCUAGACUGAGAAUAGAGUGCCAAUACUCAACUAUUGGGAUAGCUGAGAGAGCUCUCGAGUUUUACAUAACUCACUUAAGUACUGGUAUUGAACUUGGAGUACCAAUACUGUAAGGAAGUGAAUUCUCGAAACUCGAGGAUUAGACUUCGGCCAGAAUCGACUAGUUGUCGAGUGCGUAGGCUUCGGAAAGUCCGAAGAUGGCUAUAAUGCAUAUGGUGCGUUAAAGAAGUGUCCGCGGGAGCACCAGUGCAAAACUUGCACUGGAGUAGAAAUGCUCUCGGGGACCGGUCCCUGGCAGGGAGGGACCGGUUCCAUCAGGCUAGGCUGCGGGGGUCUCUGAUGAGACCAGUCCCUGAUAGGCAGGGACCGGUUCCCGAACGUUGGCCUGGCGAAAAUAGCCGAAAAUUGGCUAAGUCCCGAAAACUCAGCUCUCGGGAACCGGUCUCUCGGACAAGGACCGGUCUCCCGGGGACCGGUCUCUCAAGCAAGAACCGGUUCCCGAACGCGAAAACCCCUCUGCCUGAGAUGGCAGCCUUCGGGGACCGGUCUCCCCGAGCUGGGACCGGUCCCUCACUGCGAAAAUGCCCAGAAAGGGCUGAUUCUAAAGAUGAAAAGUUGAGGGGGCUAUUUGCAAAAUGGCCUUUAUUAGAGGUGGGGGACCUCUCUCUCUCCCUCUCAGCUGCUUUCUCUCUCUCUUUCACNUUACCCGAAGGCUCGCCUACAGCUCACUAGCCAUCUCGACACGUAGGGAGAAUUAACUCACACUACGGACCCGAGACCGUCUGGCGGGGCCAAAUAGGCAAUCCCUGGCGUGACCAACAUCCGGAGCGCACUACUUGUGUGGGGCUUCCAUCACAAGAUUUAAAACAGACCGUGAGCAUGAUCCAAUCCUCUAAGCUCGAGGAUACCCUGUCCUCUAGGGUUACAAUCAUCAUAUAGUCCAUAGGUUUCAUAUACACUAUGACUCACAUAUGUCACUCGUUCUUUUGUUCACUAUAAACUAGAUGCCACUCGUUCUUUACAAGUUUCCAAUGCAAUAGCCAACACAUUACUAAAUUCCCAUCAACACUUAUCAUCUCAUUAUAGGGUUCCAUAUCACAUAUAUAAACCUCAAGCAUGCUAGAUAUAAGUAUUAAGCUAAAUACAUUAUUCUACCAAAGAACAUGCAAGGUAUAGAACCAAACCAUCAUUUAUCACCCUAUAAUGCAAGAUGUCAAUAUGCAAAUUGAUCAAUAUAAAACUUAGACAUAAAAGGGAGCCCGAUUGUUUCGGGAUGGACACCACCCACCUUUUAUAGCGUUCCGAUUGCUCGUCGUCACUCGCAAUCGGCCUCCUGCGGCACACGCCGCACGGCUCGACCCAACUGAAGCACAACUGCCAAAUGACCUCCUAUUCGCGAUCCGUCUGUUCUGGAGUUUAUUCCCCGACACCACGAUACUACGAUUCCAUUUCCAUGAUUUUUGGAAGCUUUCGCCGCGAGCUGCGGCAAUCUGUACCAAAAUCGGCCUCUUCUUCGAUAUCUUUGUAACGGCUCAACGGAUUGCCAAACCGUCGCUUCCAACGCGUUCAGUGACCUAUCAAUUAGGUUUACAGAGGGUUAAAAGAGAUCAAACCCAACUACUUCUCAAAAUCCCAUUUUGAGCCCUAGGUUCAUAACUAGGCAACAAACCACCAUUAGAGCUUUGGAUUUAAACAUAAUCCAUCUAAUUAGCAUCUAGGAAAGCUACUAAAUCCAUUUCUAGAGCAUUUAAAUCACACCCUAGAGAUCUACCAUUAAUAAGCAUCAAGCUUACCUCUAGGUGCUAGCUCCAAGGUUGAGAGGAAGAAGAAGAUGAUGGUGGUGAUGAUGAUGCUUCUCUCCUUCUCCUCCCUUUUCUUCUUCUCCUUUUCCUUCUCCUCUUUCUUCUUCUUCUUCUUCACGUUUAGAGAGAGAGAGAGAGAUGGAGAGAUGUGAGGGAGAGUGAGGGAAUGAGAGAAAGAGAGAGAGAAAGUCCUCUCUUAACCCCCUCUCAUAUUGUAACAUUUCCAAAUAAGCCCCUCUACUUCUCAAACCUUGCAACAGCCCAAACUGGGUGUUUUUCGCGCUCGGGGACCGGUCCUUGCGGUGAGAGACCGGUCCCCGAAGGUCCAGAACUCAGCCUCAAGGACUUAGCCAAAUUUUCAGCUUUUUCACCGUUUCUUCUCCGUUUUCGCCCGUUUUCGCUCGUUUGACCUCCGAUUCGUUUCAAAUCGAACCGAGACUCUUCAAACAUGUUUUCGAGCAUGUUUUCAUCAUCUUUCCAUCCUCGCUAAUGCCGGAUUUAGCUCACGGCCCAACAUAGCCUUUCGGCUCCGUUUUAGCGCCUACGCGCAUCGAAACGCCCGAAUGCUUCCGGACCUCACCGAACUUCACC
rnacentral:lncRNA from 1 species